UCCUAUAUUCGUUUUCUGGGCUCCCGUAUUCGUUCUCUGAGUCUUUCUCUCGAGUCUAUAUUCGUCCUCUAGGGUCCUAUAUCUAAAUUUAACAAUUCCUGAACCAUUUUUAUCUUUUUUGUAUCGUGGGUCGUCAAAAUAAGCAACUAUAGUAUUUCUACGUAAAACACCCAUAAAGGGUAUUUCAAUCGAAAUCCCAAAACAGGAUAUUGGUUCUUUCUCUUGUUCUUGAUGAUACUAUAAUGGAAUGGCGAACCUAUUUCUUCGCUUUUUUGCUAACAAAUCCAAAUUAUUUUGAAGAAUAGAAGGAUAGACAAAAUUCCAAUGACCAUUGGACAUGAUUCGAUCCGGCAUUGAAUAAUCAAGAAUUUCCCUAUCUUUUUUACCAAAAGUAUCCAACAGUCUAUGUCUUACCUCAUCAUCAGCCAUCGAGAGGCCAAAGAUAUACCUUCCGUCAACAGAAAAGGAAUAAGUAUUCAUUUGAUCUUGAUCCUUGUGGAGUGAAAAAGAAGCUAUUACUAAACAACGACAAAAUUUUUUAUUUGAGCUAUAUCCUGCCAUAAGAAGACCAAUAGGAGCAAUACUUGAAAUGGCAAUCCAUAAAAAAACACCAAUACUAAGAUCCGCUAAAACAAAGCGAUAUCCCAAAGGAAUAACUAAAAAACUUAAUAAAAUUGAUAUGACUGCUAUAGACGGUCCAAUGCUAAAUAAGGGAAUAUCCCCUCGGGAUGGCAAGAUAUCCUCUUUAAAAAGUAGCUUAGUUCCAUCUGCUAUAGCUUGAAGCAGUCCCAGGGGGCCAGCAUAUUCAGGACCAAUACAUUGUUGUAUCGAUGCGGAUAUUUCUCUUUCUAACCACACAAUUACGAGUACUUCUAUUGUGAUUCCCAGUAAGAGGGUCAAAAUGGGUAGAAUCCAUAUCAGUCCAUAGACUUCUUUUAAUAAUUCCAAGUUCGAAAAAGAAUUGAUAGCUUCUACCUGUACCCUGUCUAUUAUCAUUUCAACGAUCAACUUCUCCCAUAAAAGGAACGUCCGCUCUCACAAUUCCCUCUUCAUCUACCAAAACAACCGGAAAUGUUUCAAAAAAAAGUAGGCAUACGGCGUACAAAAAGUUCGCGCCCUUCUUUAUCUCUAAAGAUAGGAUGUCCUAACCAUCCAACAGCUAUUCCAUCCCCAUUGUCCAUUGAGCCUGCUCUGAAUAAUCCCCCCUUUGUGGGCCUACAGCGGUUGAAUCCACCUACCUAUGAAGUCGGCAGCGACUUCGUACCCCGACAACCCCCGUUCUCGGAGAUUAUCGAUGAUGUCGAUAAAAGACGGGAGUUAGGGCGGGUUUGGCGGCCUACUCCGGGAUUUUUUCUGGCUGACCUUCAGGGACAACAAGGACGGGAUCCGAGUUCUCUAUUUGAAGGUAGAACCAUCUCGUCCACCACUUGCUGCGAGAAGAGGGGCACUGGAAGGGGAUGUAACGCGACUUCAAGCUAUCCCGAAGUCAGAAUCCAACACAUCCAGAUACCCUGCUAGAUUCCAUCAAGCAGCUCAUAGUAAAAACAGAAGAGGUCAAGAAAGGGCUCUACCCCAAUGUAGGCCUCGCAAAGGUGAGAGAAGGCACUCAGAAAGGCGAUAGAGUUGGGGUUCAAGUGGAGCAAAGAAAGGCCAUAGAAAUUCAGGACAAGAAGAAGAAACUUGGAAGGCGGAGGAAGAAAACCGCAAGAAAUGUAAUCCUCGACUACAACCAUGCGGCCCAAGAUGGGUUUAGGUUCUUUACCUCAUGCCUCCCUCUGCAUGGUCCUGCGACCAGGGAGGGCACCGUCGUCUUGCAGCUUCUUCAAGGACGCGGUGGUUGAGGUAGACUUCUCAAGAUCCAUCGCCGCCAGAGGAUCGCCGGAGAACAAGAGGAAAGAAGGAAGCUAGGGUUUUCUUUGCAGAGAGCGGAGAAGACGAAGGGCGCUAGAAGGCAAGAGUGUUUUCUGGCAAACGGACUUUAAAUGAAUUCCCAAAAUCCCUUCAAAUAAGCGCACUACCGACGGCGCGUAUUCCAAGGAAAGGAGAGAGUUUGCCGCCGGAAAAUUCUGGGUCCGUUGCGCGCGGUAGUUUUCAGACUUCAAUUUAAAUUCACUCAUGACCGUUGAACUUCACGCGGUGUUGUCGAUGGCUUUUGUCUCUACGGUUUUCACACCGAGAUCGACCAGAUGAGAGCGACAACAAUUCCGACAUCAGAAGUCGUGAUCGAUAACAUGAGUUCAUUUAAGCAGAAGUCGGGGGCUACUGUCAGGGUUACGGAUAAGGUAUACCCUCUAUCCUUGGAUGUUCGUUGUAUACUGACACGGUGUACCCACGCGUAUACGGAUAGUUUCCGUAUACAUUAAGGAAAUAUGUCACGUGGUAGAUAUGGUAUCUAUAGACGGAAGAAGUUCUACUCGGAUAAUACUGGGUCUUUUCCAUAUCGCGAGGGGUCCGAUAUCUCCGAGUCCCACCUGGAGAUCAACUGGCCCGCGGUAUAUAAGGGACCCCCCGGGUAGGACCUAAGGCAUCGAAUAUUACCGCCUACACAUCCACCACAGCCUACGAAGUCGGAGCCUACAGGAGCCAAGUCGCCGGAAGAUCUAGUCGAACCAACUCAACUACGGUCUCAUCGGUAUCAUUAAGUUCUGUUAUUCCCUUUGUAAUCUGUGGUUUCCAUCAUAUAAUCCCAUAUCAACUGGAUUAGGGCUAUUACCUACUAAGGGGCCUAAACUAGUAUGACCCUUGUCUUUUGUUUGCUUGAUAUCGUACUAUGUAGAUCCUCGUACCAACGAACCCCAAUACCCUCUAUAUCCGGUCUACGGGUAUCCCCCGUCGACAAUGUGUAUGACUGCCUUUCAUUAUAUUGAGCUUUACCAAAUUAUAGUGACUCGUGUUAGAUGUCUCUCAUGCUCUCUCAAUCAAGGUUGCACAACCAUUAUGCUAAGUUUCUACUCUGGAACUUAGCAUCAUUUCAUCCAUUUCCACUACCACCGAAAAAAGAAAAAUAUAGUUGAUGAAUAAAUUCUCCAUUUAGUUUAUGCCUUCUUCUCCUAAGAAAAAUCCUUGAAAAAGAAAAAUAAAAGUAGGGAAAGGCGUGGCUAUAAAAAAUAUAAUACUUUUCUAAAAUGUGGAGCAAUUUGAAAAAAAAAAACAGAGAGAAAAAGAAAAAAAAUAGCCAUGCCCCCUCUACAAUUAUAAAGGAGAAAACUGGAGAAGAAUGUAUAGACAAAGGAGAAGCAUUUUCUUUAUUUCCGAUCUUUUCUACACAUAUCAUACACUUUCCACCCAAAAAAUUAUGCAAUCCUUGAUCCGAGAGUAUGAUCGAUUAUCUUCUUGAGUCCAUAUAUUUGGUUUUGCAAUAUAUAUGAUGCAUGUAUGUCCCGAGUUAUCCCUAGCAAACUCCACAUAUACAGCCUUUAGAUUAGGGAAUAAUUUCGGCAGCAUAUGCCUUGGUGAGGAUGCACAAACAGCACAAAAUAUUUGAGUGAUCGAGGAUGAGUCAUUAUGAGGAGAUAAAGCUGAUUUGCGAAAAUUUAUAAAACCCCAAAAGUCUGAGAUGGAGUUUGAGAAGGACCAGAUUCAAGACUAUUCCUUCUUUCAAUCGCCCAAGAUGGUAAGUUAGCCACCGAUGAAGUUCAUAGGUAUGAGACUGGUCUUGAAUAAAUUAUGUGCUUGUACUAUAUCUCGGAGAAUUUUAUUCUCAACUUUAGCUCUAACCUUUAUUCGGGACGAGUAAAGAGCUAAGUGUGGGGGGUUUGUUGGUGGCUGUUAAUGACAAAUUUUAUGCCGCCAAUACCUGCAUAAAUCAAAGAAAUAAAACGUCCAACAUAGUAAUAGGGUUUAAUUCUAACAUAUUCCACAAGUGUUGGUGUAUAUUUGAAUGCAGAUAAUAAACCACCAAAGUUGGAUGGAAUAUAGACUUAAGUGAAGGAGAAUUCCUAUCCAUAUAAUGAGUGGGCCAGAAACUACGAGAAAACAUCUUCAAAUGGGCCUUCCACUCGUAGAAAUGGAGGAGCAACAGGCCAAAGUUGAAGCCUGUUGGGCCAGCCAUGGGUUUGGCCGAACCACCCCUGCAGCCGUCCGAUCAAGGGUUUUGCGUGGACGGUCUGGAUAAGCUCCUGAAUGGCGGUUGUUGGGCAAAAUGGACUUUUCGCGUUCUAUGACCGUCAUGCCUGCCCCUAUAUAAAGACCUCGCCUCUUCACUUCACACACACUCCAAGCUUGAGCUGAAUUAUAAGAGGCUCUAUUAUAUUAUAUUGUAUACUAGAAUAGGAAAAGAGUAGAGUAGAAGAAGUCGGAGGAAUUCCGGAGUUGUCGGUAAUCCUCUCCCUCUUUAUUCCUACUCUAUUAAUUACUCUGAUUAUAAUAGAGUUAUCUUUUGAGCAAUUUAGUUUUGCUCGGUGAGAAUUAUCUCUUAGUUAGUUCCUAUUUAGAGUGCUGGAUCGUCGUUCACAAUAAUCAAAUAAAAUAUAGUGAUUGCUUUAGUGUGUAGCUAACAUUAAAGUAAGUAAUUAAUCUGCUUAGGUGUGGUGUCUAGGUAAAGGUGGUGACAGCCCUCAAGACACUGAAGUCCUCCCUGUCCGGGUGCGCAGUAGAGCGAUAUCUGGGAGUAGGGAGCUGGCUAGUGCCUGAAGUACCUCAUUAGGAUUAAAGUUAAGCGCCGGCUAAAGUUUACAUCGACUACCAUCUGUAUCGGCUAAUACCGAAUCGGUUAGGGAGAAGUCGAUGGAGCCGAUUUCGGCAAGAUGAUUCUAGAAUCAUUGUCGGGAUUGACUGGGGUGUUGCACAAGUAUUGCCAAGCAUGGAUUGAGUCCGAGGAAGGCAAUUGUUAUCUAUUAGGAUAUUUUAGUAGUUUCUUUAUAGAUAUUUUCAGUAAGAGUCCGCCUAAGAGUUGUAAUAGAAGUGGAGUCGUGUCCGGCAAGGACACAUUAUGUAUUUUGGGUAUAAAUAUGACCCGAUACCUUGUAAACAAUUAACUUUAGUUCAAUAACACUUUCAGCGUAUCACCACCCUUUUCUAUUUUCAUUGUUUCGACGAGUUGUUGCUUUCGAGUUGGGCUGCAUCGGGUUCGAUCUCCGACGAAAAGUUAAAGCUUGUUAUGGCGGUUUGCAUUCUUGGGAUUAAUGCUUACAUCUUUAUGGCACUCUAAUCAUGUCUUUGUAAAUUGUCGAGUUAUCAUAUAUACUAUAUAAUCUAGACCGAUCUUGCUAUCUAACAUCAUCGGCUAGCCUCUAUCAUCGAAAACAGCCAAUAGGAUUAGAUACUGAUAAUUGAAUUAAAUUAUAUAGUAUAUCUACCAUCUCAAGAAGACUCUCAAUGACUUGUUUAGUUCUUAUGUUUCUCUUUAUACUUAAUGCUGUAUCAGUUAAGUUAAUUUGAUCUACUAAGUAAUAUCUAGAACCAUAAUAUUGUUAACGGUGAAAUUUGGUAAGCCCCUAUGAGAAUUAUCACGUCGCCAAUAGUCGGAUUCCUGCUAUAAUCGGUUAAGGAAAUUAAUCUAUUAAAUGAAGCUUAUCCAAAUGUGACCGAAUUCAAGAGGGAUGCAGCAUGACAAGUUAUCUAUUAAUUAGGAAUAGUUUGUUUGUUUACUUUUAUCUUUAGGAAAGUGUGUUUAUGUCCUAUAAGGACUUUAUGUUUUCCUUUUCUCUUAAGAAAAUUUUUUUUCUUGUCCUACAAGGACUAGUAUCUACCCAUGGGUAUAAAUAUGUACACCCGGGGUCAUUGUAAAAUAUCUCUCGAUGAAUACUACUCUCUACGCAUCGCCACCCUCUUUCCCGAAGUUUUUACUUAUCAUCUGGCGGAAUUCGGCACCUAGGAAGGGGUAAGUUCGAUCUCCGACGAAGGGGUAAGUCCUACGUUCCGCCGGCCCUCGUAUAUCUAUCGACUACGUUGGUGUUGUUCAAGGCUGCAUCGCUUCAAUCUCUUGGAUCGCUCUGGUUUGGUUGAUAUAUUUGCCUACCUGAUAUCUCAAUUCUAUCUCUAAUUGCAUUGUGUUUAGAGACGCAUCGGUUUAGUUGGGACUGUCUCGGUUAGGUCUGAUCUUCUGUCCUAGCCGAUAUAUCUCUAUAAUCACAAUGUUGUUCUAGAUAGAUUUGUUAUAUCUAUCACAUUAGACAGAUCUAUCGGCUCAUCGAGUAUUAGACUAUCAUAUACAAUCUCGUGCAGCAUCGGUUAGGUUCUACCUUCUAGAUUGUUGUUGAUAAUAUAAAUCUUGUUAAGGCGAUAGGUUCACGCUAAUGUUUUAUUGGGGUGCUAGCUGAUAAAUUAUCUAGACAUCGCAUCGUCUUACAAGGAUUACAUACAAGUUGGAUUUAGCCGAUUGCAACAAAGGUUUCACUGUUUAUCUAAUCGUUUGGAUUUUAUGGCAUCGGACCUUCAGUCGAUGUAUACUUUAACCUUCGAAUUUGUACAUAUCCUAUCAUAUUAUUAUUAGACGAUUGGUAUCUAUUGGAUUAUAUUAUUACUACAUUUUAUUGUCAUCAGCCGAUUUAGCCGAUUGCUCAAAACCCUAUCGGCAUCGGGCUGGCAUCGGCUAAUAUCGGCUAUCGGCUAGAAUUACUCCAUCGGCUUGACAGCCGAUUGGCUAUUUGAUCUGUUGUUUACAUAUCUUGCUAGUUGCAGGAUCAAACUAGCUGGCACGCUCGCAUAUCAUCAACCUUUGGACCUGCACUGGAGCUAAGCAGAUCUCCCUGGCCAGUGUGUGUUUUUCAUAUCAACAAAUAUCUAGCUUGUUGUCGUAAGCUCUCCGGACCACUCAUUAUAUUUGAAGGAUGAACUAAAUAAUUCAAGUCAUCAAACAAACAUAAUGAAAUAUCCGACACCUAGAGAGAAAAAUAUUGGAGACAUUGCUGGGUCUUUAGCCUGCCAGUCAACUUCAGCCUGAGAUGUGCCGUCAAAUCACUCAAAGGCGGCGACCAAAUGUGUUACACAUUCAGGAGACUUGACAAAAUGACUAAAGAUCAACAACAUCUCAAAUAUUUUUAACUCAUACUCAUGUGAAUUCUAGUUCCCAGGAUGUGCACUAGAUUCACACUUUCAUCUUAAGCAUGGAGAUACAUAGCAAAAUAAUUUGAAAUUACAAUUAUUAAUAGUUACAAGGGCCAACUGGCCAAAUAUAAUUAUAUCAGAUAACAGCGGAAGCUUGACUACCCAAACACAAGAACAGACUAGGGGUUUACCCCAUUAAGUUCAAAUCCUAGAAGAAGCAAUCGAAACCCGCAUCACUCAAAUUAAACUAAGUCUAUUCCCUGCAAAACAUAAAUUAGACAAAAUAUGGCAUGACUCAAUACAUUAAUCAAAUUAAUGUACUGGCAAGAGCACUAUCAAACCUACAUACAUGAAAGCUCUAAGUCAAAUGAAGGCUUUUUGUGAUCUCAAUUUUUAGCAUAAAGCAAAUUUUAGUUCACAAACCAUUUGCAACGUAAUUUAAGCAAAACAUGUUAGUAAAAUGUAAAGCAUAACAAUCAUGGCAUGGUCAACAUAAGUAGAUAGACAUCAUUCCCUUAAAACUCAAUGGGAAGUAAGGCAAUCAUAUCAUAUAUACCAAUCUCAUCAUCAUCUCAAAAAAUUUAGUUUCAAAAGCAUUUAGAAAACACAAGAUUAUACCCAUAGCACAUCAUCAUGUCGCUCAUGACUGUGAGCAUGGCUAAUCGAUUAGUUUUUAGAACUCUGCAGAGUUUGUACAGCUUUACCUACAUGAUAUGAACACUCUAGUUUGACUUGUGCUGGCCAAAGCACUACCACACUCUACACAUUGAGUGCGUUUUAGAGCUCAUAACAAGGCUUUUACAUUAAGCGUUGUCUAACCUUGCAUGAGCACGAUACGUGUUCCUCCAUCCUAGGCCAUAUACGUUAUAUGACCUAGAACCAUUAAGUGGCGGGCUCACGCCUUAAACAUAACACCGAGGUGGCGAACACAACGCGAACCCUCCACGUGGCACAAUAUCGUUGUAUUGGACAGACUUAGACGCCCAUGCUGUAAGGCGGAACAUUACACUCGUCCCCUCACGGAAAUCACACACUUAGGAACAGUACACUCGUCCUAAAAUUCAACACACACAUGGGUAGUUCCUCUAGGUAGCCCAUAGUAUACUCGUGGCCCCUACCUAUACUACAACGGCCUCCCGAAUGCAAGAUUAGGCAAAUACUUAACUUAAUAGGCCAAGGUUCCCCCAUCAAAACGCAUGUGGAUGUACGGUAAACAUAAUGGAUGAUAUGAAGUUUGGUCCUUAAUCGACUUAGGCGAACACUCCCCCUAUUGGUAUGCAACUACUAUCAUAUUGACAAACCCUGAGUUCCACUCGACACUCAAGGUUGUUGUUGGCCCUAUCUUUCGGUGAGUUGAGAUAACUACGAUUUGGGAGAAACAUUGACGACCUGACAAUAACCAUACAAGACGUUACGUUGCGCCUUAGCGAUCGAUACACCUCUCCGUGGGUUGUUGAUCUUGCCGGUGCAAAUCAAGCCUAAUCCUGCAAGCAAAUCGAAGAAACAAGCAAGAACAAGAUAAAAGCAAUCUGAUAUUACAAAUAGGAAUUGAAUACAAAUGAUAAGUUGGGGUUCCGAAGAACAAGUAGACUGACGGUGUAGCCAACACGCGCGCUGCAAGCAAGUAGCAAUGGCAAAACUUUAAUCUAACAAAACCCGAGAAACCCUGAAGGGGUACCUUGUAAUUUAAAGAGGUGGGAGGACGACCAAGAGGCUCCUAGGGUCGUGCUCCACUAGAUUGGGGAGCACCCCACAUGGGCCUGGGUCCCAGACAAAGUUACAAGCCCAUAGACCCAUUACAGGUGUCGCACCACCUUGUUUCUUCAAUUGCUGCCGACCGAGAUGCAAUUUGGUAAUGAGGCUGGAUCCAUUGGAAAGAGGACUUCGAGAGCUUUCCAUCAAGUACUCACAGGCCAAAAACGGAGGUCGUACGCAGAUUUGGUGGCUGUUUGAAGUCAGUAGUGUAGCAGGUGGCCGAAUCGGAUUCCAGCACUUGGAGGACUUAAUCUUGAUAUCUUGUUGUUCAUCCAUGAUAUGAGCAAUGGUUGUAUCCGUAGUAGCCAUGGUCACAUCAUCCUCCCCUUCUUCAUGGAAAACUGUCAUCGGUUUUUCCAUAUGGUGCUCAUCGCGUGGUCGAUUUAAAACAACCUGUUUCAUCCAAUCAAAAGAAGAGAAACUCGAAGUAAUAUGAUUAGAAAUAACAUGUCUCUCUAGCUUGCAAAUUUUAUCCACAUGUACAGGAGGUACUAAAUCCGAACAUAUAUAACCUCUAUGCACCAAAUAUAUUUCUCUAUCAUUAUAUUCACCAAAGAUAUGAAAAAUAGCAUUAGUUGGACAGGGCAAAUAUUAUUUAGCAAAUAAUUUCUCCUUCAAACUAUCGAGCUCACAAAAAUCAUCACACUGAAUAUAGCCCAAAGUAUUUAAAGAAGAUGUCAAUUUACGUUCCACUACUUCAUUAGAACUGACAUUAGAAAUAGCAUGUUCAUUCACUAGUUGUGGCACGAAUAUAAGUGAAACAUUAUCACACAACUCUUCUUUAUCACAAGGAACAGCCAGUAAAUCAACUUGUGACAAAGGCAUUUCAACAAUUGGUUCCAAUAAUGGUUGCUCUACUAUAGCAUGAAAAGUAGACAUAUUCAAUUCAUUAACGGCACACUCACCUUGAUUAAUUACGGCACCAUUUAGAUUACCUGUGAUUCGCUCUUCUGAUGACGGAGGUGCAUCGAAUUUGAGUGUGAACAAUGGGAACGACGGCUUUUUCAUGUCUCUCUCUUCUUUUCCGUGAUUAUGCACUUCUUGCAAAUAGUUAGUAAUAGGAGGCAAAAAGAUAUCGUGUUGCUUUUUCAUGUCCUCCUCUAGUUUACUUUCAGCAUUGCAAGCAAGUUGUAACAAAUGAGAAAGAGUUCUAUAUCUUUGACAAGCCAGCAUAUCCUGAAUUUUUUUUAAGCCCACGUAAAAACCUCGAUUCUAUAACUUCUUCGCAUUCAUCUCAACCACAACGUAAUAAACAAGCAUCCAUAUCAUGAUAGUAUGAAGUAACAGUUCUAUUAUCUUGUUUUAAACAUUCCAGUUUAUUGAGCAAAAUGUCAGCAUAAUACAUGGGAACAUAAACAUCUCUCAUAUAUCGUUUCAGGUCUUUACAAGAUUGUGGUAUUUUAUUAUGCCUACAAAGAUGUUUCCAAUCAUUAGAAGCUUGAUUAAUUAAAACACUAGAGGCAUACAUAACCAUAUGUUUCUCAGACAAUUCAUGCUUCCUAAAUUCUCUAUCAACCGCUAGCUCCCAAUCAAUGUAAGCACGAGGAUCAUAAUUUCCUUCAAAAUAAGGUAGUGCAGAUUUGAUCUUACCUAGAACAACAUCACUUACCUCAUAUUGGUCAUGUUGAUCAUUCCUCAUCACUCGACGAAGAUGUUCAUGUUCAGCACAAUUAUCCCAAGUUUUCUUGCGUAUCCCUGCCAUUGUUAGUAGAAAGCAAGAAACAUACACAAAAAUAUACAUGUUCCUAUUAAACUACUAGGUAGUGGAAGCUUAAAUAUCACACACACUCAAACAUUUAACCAAGCUCUUACAAGAUCUUACCAAUGCAAGCAGAAUGGUGGCGACAUACACCGACACAACCAAGCACCCCAAUGGAGGUUAGAUGUAUCGAUGCCUUGGCAAACACUUGCUGUACGGCUGCAAUCAAAUCUGUGGAGCUCGGGGUAGGCUUAAAUAUGUAGCAAAGGAAUAGCAAAUACUCAAAUCAGAGAAUGCAAAGUUGAAUAAAUCAACUACAGUGCUGGUCCUAGGCUAGAACGUACUAGAGACGCGAGCCUAGACACAAACGAUACCACAAGAUAACACCAGAAACAACUUAAGCACACUCUGAUAUAUGAAACCAAACUCAAAGAUACAACUGAUUUUUUUAGUUUGCCUUCUUUCUUUCUUUCUUUCUUUUUUUUUCUUUUCUUUCUUUCUUUCUUUUCUUUUUUUGGUGCGGCUUUUCUUUUUCUUUUUUUAUGCACCUUUCUGUCUUUUCUUCUCUCCUUUUUUCUGAUUUUUUUUAACAAAAACCGACUCAAGGACCCGGAUGCAACAUUAUAGGGAUUCAAAUGUAAAGAUAAAAUUACAGGGACUCAAAUGUAAAAGUCCGAACCUAAAAAUUGAAAUUAUACAAAAAAAAAAAUGGAAUGUUGAAUUUAUGCCAGUGCUGUUUAUGCAAACAGAUCUUGAAUCUGACACCGAAAAAAUUUUCAUCAAGGUGUGUAGCAACUCCGGUACAACCGUGAGGAGGUGGAAGGUACGGUGGUUAGAUGGAGUAGAUGGAUACGGCCGCAAUUAGAGUUCGGAUUUGGUGCAAUCUAAAAGGGAAACUGAUUUCCAGCCAAUCCAAUCUACUAUAUCUUUCCAAAACAAACUUGACUACUUCCAAAAUCAGAUUUGGUAAUUCACCUUCCUCCUCUCGUGCGCGACACAAGCACGGCCAAAAUAGAAACAUGGCCAAGCUGGCAAUCCCUAAUUGCAACUCAACAACUCCAAAACCGAUGAGUAGAAACUUUUGAAAACUACAAAAAUAGAACCUUGACGGAAAGACGAUUCCGUUUUCGUAGGUCCCGACGACAACAAAGAUGACGGCGGCAAGCGACGACAGUGGUAGUAGACCUGCCAAGAACUCGAAACUCUAAACGAACUAGACGCUAAGACCAGCAACUCAACGCAACGAUGCAACACAAAACUCAACAAAGCAAAAACUGAAAGAACAAUGAAAUGGCACAAAUAUAGCUAGGUACAGGAUGCAAUUUUUUUUGUAUGGCAAUUUUCCGGUUAUAGGUAGAUAAAAACUCACCGGGCAACGAAAGCUCUGAUACCACCUGAUGAACCCUGAGUUCCACUCGACACUUAUGGCUGUUGUUGGCCCGAUCUUUUGGUGAGUUGAGAUAACUACGAUUUGGGAGAAAAGUUGACGACCCGACUACAACCAUACAAGACGUUGCGUUGCGCUUUAGUGAUCGAUACACCUCUCCGUGGGUUGUUGAUCUUGCCGGUGCAAAUCAACCCUAUUCCUGCAAGCAAAUCGAAGAAACAAGAAAGAACAAGAUAAAAGCAAUCUGAUAUUGCAAAUAGUAAUUGAAUACAAAUGAUAAGAUGGGAUUCUGAAGAACAAGCAGACGGACGGUGUAGCCGACAUGCACGCUACAAGCAAGUAGCAAUGGUUAAACUUUAAUCUAACAAAACCCGAGAAACCCUGAAGGGGUACCUAGCAAUUUAAAGAGGUGGGAGGACGACCAAGAGGCUCCUAGGGUCGUGCUCCACUAGAUUGGGGUGCACCCCAGAUGGGCAUCACUUGGGCCGGCGUCCUAUAUGAAGUUACAAGCCCAUAGGCCCAUUACAGGUGUCGCACCAACUUGUUUCUUCAAUUGCUGCCGACUGAGAUGGAAUUUGGUAAUGAGGCUGGAUCCAUUGGAAAGAGGACUCCGAGAGCUUUCCAUCAAGUACUCACGGGGCAAAAACGGAGGUCGUAUACAGAUUCGGUGGCCGUUUGAAGUCAGCAGUGUAGCAGUUGUACGAAUCGGAUUCCAGCACUUGGAGGACUUGAUCUUGAUAUUUUGUUGUUCAUCCAUGAUGUGAGUGGUGGUUGUAUCCAUAGUAGCCAUGGUCACAUCACAUAUGCAUACCACUUCCCGCCCAAGUCUAAAAUCAUAUUUUAUCUCAUUUUAUUUCACAAAUAAUCAGAGAAUCACCUCUGUCCAUAAAGUUCAAAAGGGUUUUCAAAAGUAUAAUAAGUGAUCCAUAACCAUGUUUUUAUUUAUUACUAAGCUAGGCUAAGCAUUUGCAUUUUGUAAAAGUAUAGUAUACUUAUAUGAGCACAAUUAAAGUACUCUCAUAAAUCCUAAGGUUCAAAACAGCAAGGGGUGAUUUUCAAAAGGGGUUUCAUGCAUGUUUAUAAUCAAAAAUACACGUGCAGCUUUAUAAUCAAAGCAUUUAGCCCGAAAACAUAGGAUUCAAGGAAGGGCAAAACUUGCCUUAGAAUAUAUAUGACCUAACUGAGUUUAGCUAUAAUCCAUCUCCUUCACCGGUAACGAUUUCGCCGUCUAAAAGAAAUAAAAGUAACGAUAAAUACCAAAACAUGCAAUAAUUCAAAAUGCUCUAAAAUGCAUGAGUUUACUAGUGUGAUUAGGUGCUGUGUGGGUAAGAUUUGUGGUGAAGGAAUUUAUAUUUUAUCACUUUGCAUUUGGGAGUUAUUAAUUUUCAAAGUUUAAUACUAGCACUAGAUUAAUUAAGCUCUAAUAGUACAUAGAUGCAUUUUAGGUCUAAGUUUUAUGAAAUGCUGGGUUACUGCAGUGAAAAGGAUAUUCUCAGGAUUUCAACAAAAUUGGUUUCACAAUUUGUAGAGUUAGAAUGUUUUUAUUAUAAAUUUUACAAGCUAAGUGAUAUACUAUAGUAGUUAUUAGUUAUUUCGCAUUUUAGAUAUGUUUUGGGUACUGUAAGUGCUAUAUUUUAUUUUAUAAAAACUAAUGUCCAAGAUUUUGCUAAUCUAACAAAUCUGAAAUCACCUCAUUUGGAGUUGUAUUAAAUUUGAUAUGAAUUUUUAGAAGUUUCUUAAUAUUAAUUCAUUAUUCAAAUUUUAGUAAUGUUUUCGGAUAUGGAUUCUUCUAUAGAUUUGUUUACAGAACUAAUAUACAUUCUUUUAUCAAACUAAGAAAUUUUAGUUUGUCUCAAUUGGAGUUAAAACAAAUUACUUAUGGAUUUUGUAGUUUCUAGUUUGCACUAUACCAGUUAUUUUACUAAUUAAUUAUUUGGUGAUGUUUUUAUUACAGAAGGUAUUAAGUUUUAGUUCAUGAAAAUUAAGAGUAUGGUUUUAUGAGCACACUGGAACUUUGUUCACUCCAAAAUGAGUUAAAAUGAAGUUUAUAUGAAUUUUCUAAGUUUGAGCAAGCUUUAUGUGUGAUUUAUAUUAGAUGAAUUUUAGAGGCAAAAAUUGUACUACGUGUGCCAAGUUUUAGGUUUUUAUAUUAAAUUUCAUAUCUUUGUGAAUCUAUAGCAACUGGAAUUACCUCAAAAUUGUACUACAUGUGCCAAGUUUGUGCAUUUUUCUGUUAAACAUAUAUUUGUUUGGGUAUUUCUUUUAUUAUUUUCCAGAUUUUAAAAAAUGGGGUCCACUGGUGAGUGAGAGUAAAUAUGCAGAAAAGUCCCUGAGGUUUCUAGGAAUAUAGGCCGAAGUCCUUAUCACAUGUUUAAUACUAUCUUCAUAAAGAGUGCUCCAAGUUUUAUACUUUUACUAAUAGGUCCUGGGUCAACAUGUCAUGCAGAGAACAUUUAGAAAUAAAAUCCUACAAGAUUUAAACUCAUACUAAUCAAAUUCUUAGCACCCAAUGAAGUGGGUCCCGCUUGUCAGUGACACUAGGUGGAGGAGGACAGGGCUGUGGCGCCCCGGCGAGCUUCUCGCCGGCGCCGGCGACGAACGGUGGCCGUCCUCACGAUGCAGCCAAAAGAGAAAAUGUAGAGUGGAAGAUGGCGAAACUAAUGGCGGUGGUAUCGCGGGCUGUGGUGGCUGGAGUCAACGACGGCGGCAGCGCGAGCGGCGGUGUGCUUCGGGGUGAUGCGCCAUUUAGAGCUACGGCUCGAUUUGUGCCAAAUGUGUGCAUGCAUGUGCCUCUACGGGACUCCUGAAGACUCACUUGAGUCGCACGUACACCGACGAAGCUUGGACGACGACGGUGAACCGAGGAACGCUCCGGUGGCGGCGGAAAACGGCGGUACGACGGCGUCGGCUUCCUCCGGUCUUUGGGCUGCCAAGAAGAGAAGGGAAAUGGAUCAAAGAUCACCUAAGGAUGCUUCAUAUGCGAGGAAUAGCGCCGAAGCUCACCCGGGAGCGGGGAAUUGACGACGAUGGCCGGCGGCCGGACUUGGGGAAGAAGAGUUCGAUCUCCUCAACGGCGGCGUUUUAGCUCGAUCUUCUUUACGCGUCCUUCUCCAGGGACCUAGGCGACGUCGGUGGCGCAAUGGCUUGGUCAGCGGAGGCUCGAGUCGACCGGAACGGCGAAGUGGCCGACGGCGGCGCUCUGGACACUGAGAGCGGCGUCGAGCUUGGCACAAGGUGUUAAGAGACAUGAUUGAUCAGGUAGGGGAAUUGAAUCACAUUUCCAUGGUUGGAAUGCGGCGAAGCUCACCAGAGAAGAUUUGCGACCGAUCAAACAUCUUCGAUGGAAAGAAAGAAGAGAACAUUCUUGGCAAUACAUGGGAGUUCUUGAAGUUUAUUUCUAUGGAACAAGAUUAGGAUGAUAGAUGAAUUCAGUGGCGAAGUGGCUCACUAAAUGGUGAAAGUGAAGACAAUGACAUGCUAGGUGUCAAUAUGGAAUAUACACGUUUUUAAGAUGGUGGCUGAGUUUAGGGCGUUGCAACCUCACCUACAUCACCCAAACUAGCUAUAAUGGCUGUCAAGUGGUCCAUGGAGAUGUUUCCUAGAUGAAAGAUAGGGUGGAGGGAGGAAUUGGGUGAGAAAUGGAUAUUGGAACCUUUUUUCCCUCUCUCUCCCCCUUCAUGGUAUAUUUUUUUUUGGGGGAAUGCCAUUCGGCUAGCUUUAUUGAUAGGAUAAAAUUGUUACAUCAUUUACCAGAUGGUUCAGAACACAGCCAGGGGGUUCAUCGACCCAAGUACAAGAAUUUUUUGUCCUAAACGCUAACCUGGCCAGUUCAUGAGCCACCUGAUUGGAGUUUCUAUUACAGUGCUCAAUAGAAAUUGUACCAAACCCAUCCCACAUCAGCUUGCAAUCAUCAAACACAGACAUAGCCGCUGUAGCAGAAAAUCCUCCAUCCAUCAUCGUUGAAACCACCUGCAUACAAUCAGUUUGUACUAUAACAUUUUUAGCACCAAUGUGUUGUGCCAGGGACAGCCCAUCUCUCAGCGCAAAAGCCUCUGCCAUCGGUGCAUCAAGGACAUGUGGAAGAAAAGCUUGCGAAGCCGCAACACAAGCUCCCAAGUGAUCUCUCAACACCACCCCAAUACCUCCACUUCCUGAAUCAAAAUCGAAGGCAGCAUCAACAUUGAUCAUUAGCAUUCCUUCAGGAGGUUUCUUCCAACCGUUCUGAAUUUUUGUUUUACCUUUCUUAUUUGACAACAUAUAGUUUGUGGUUAAGGUAGCAAUAGACAUUGCCGACCGAGCAGGGUUCUGUAUUCGUUCCCCCUGCACCAACUGUCUUCUCUCCCACCAAAUAUACCAAGCUCCCGUUAAGAUCAAUUCCGUCAUUCCAAUAGCAUUCAGAUGCGAAACCUUCCCACCCUUCCUUAUCAUCUCCUCCACCAGAACUGAUCCUGACCGGUCGAAACCCAGAAUCGGUUGUAUUCUGCUCCAUAUGCCUAGCUGCUUCCAAAUCAACUUUGCUCUUCUACAAGUAAAAACCAUAUGCUUGAUAUCUUCAACUCCUGAAGAACAAACCGGACAACCACCUUGGACUGCAAUGUGUUUGUCAGCUAAGAUGCCUUUACAGGGAAUCACACCAUGCAACAUUCUCCAUGCAAAGAUUUUUAUCUUGGGUGGAAUUUCCAGUUUCCACAGGUUGUCCCAGACCGGCCUGCUCGAGCUACUUGCACCAUCAGGCAGUCUCUCCUUGCUCCCAAACUUUGCAUUCCACUGACAAUGGUAAGCAGACCGAACUGAAAAAAUUCCUGACCGAGUGUGAUGCCAAGCAACAAAAUCCUCUCUCCCGGCUGAAAUAGGGAUUUGUAGAAUUCGGUUAGCAUCAAUAGGCCAGAACAAGGUAUCUAUCAGGUCUUCAUCCCAUCCACCACUUACUGGAUUGAUCAGUUCUUCAACUUUUGUGAUAAUGUUCCUUCCUCGAGGUGUUAAAACCUUCCCAUUACUGCUUGAAGGUAUCAAACUAUCUUCCCAUAUAUUAACUUGGGAUCCAUCUCCAAUUCUCCAUAUGUAGCCUUUAAAGCAUUCCGAACCAGAUAGAAUGCUUUGCCAAGCAUAAGAACUACCCUUUUUCGGUCUUGCCCUCAAAAUAUUUCCAUCCGGAUAGUAUUUGCAUCGCAUUACCCUUGCACACAGUGAGUCAGGAUCACACAGGAAUCUCCAUAUCUGUUUAGCAAGCAUCGCUCGAUUAAAACAAUAUAAGUCCCUAAAACCCAGACCACCUCUUUGUUUUGGAAUGCACAUCCUCCACCAAGCCUUCCAAUGUAUUCUUCUGUGAUUUUCAUCAUCACCCCACCAGAAUCGCGCGAUUGCUUCAGAGAUACAGUCACAUAUUUUUUUCGGUAUCCUGAAAACAGACAUCGCAAAAACUGGUAUAGCCUGAGCGAUUGAUUUUAUAAGCACUUCCUUCCCCCCUGUACUCAACAUCUUCUCCUUCCGUCCAUUUAUCCGGUUGUUGACUCUAUCAAUCAGGUGUCGAAAACAAUCACUCUUAUCAACACCUAUCAUCGCUGGGAGUCCAAGAUAUUUGUCGUUUAAAGCUUCAGUCAUAAUAUCUAGAGAUCCACAGACAGCAGCUUUAUCUUCGACUGCAGUAUUUCUACUGAAGAAAAUACUCGACUUCGCUUCACUGAUUUUCUGUCCAGAAUUUUGACAGUAAAUAUCCAAAAUUGCUUUCAGAUGAUCAGCAUUAUUCUUGUCUGCUUGCAUCAAUAUUAGAGAAUCAUCCGCAAAUAACAAGUGUGAUAUCAUCGGUGCUUCACGACACACUCUGAUUCCCACUAAGUCUCCUCUAUUUUCAGCUCCUUGCAGCAUACUCGAUAGACCCUCAGCAACAAGCAAAAAAAGGUAUGGGGAUAAGGGAUCCCCCUGCCUUAAGCCUCGAGAAGGCUUAAUAACCUCUGUCAAUACACCAUUGAAAUUCACCCUGUACUGAACUGAAGAAACACAAGACAUUAUUAACUGAACCCAGCGGCUAUCAAAGCCUAAUUUCAACAUGAUUUGUUCCAGGUACAUCCAUUCAACCCGAUCAUAUGCUUUGUGCAUAUCUAGCUUCACUGCACACAGACCUUUUCUUCCUUUCUUCUUUUUCAUUGUGUGUAAGCACUCAUAAGCUACCAAAACAUUAUCCGUGAUCAACCUGCCCGGGACAAAAGCACUCUGCUGAUCACUUAUUAUUUCAGGGAGAAGACACUUUAGCCGGUUUGCUAACAUCUUAGAAAUUAUUUUAUAGACCACAUUACAUAAGCUAAUGGGUCUAAAUUGAGUUACUCUGUCUGGUUUAUCAACCUUUGGAAUCAUGACAACAGUUGUGUCAUUCCAUCCAUCUGGAAUUUUCAUUGUAUUUAUUGCAUCAAGAACUUCUUUAACCAGAUCACUCUCCAACAUAUCCCAGAAUCUUUUAUAGAAAACAGCGUGCAGCCCAUCUGGUCCCGGAGCUUUCAGAUCACCUAUACUGAACAGAGCAUUUUUCACCUCUUCAGCUGUAUACGGUGCUAGUAAUCCAAAAUUCAUAUCUCCCGUUACUUUUCUCUGUACAUCCAGCAAAGAAGAUCCAUCUAUUUGUGUAACCUCAGCCGAGAAGAGAUUUUGGAAGUACCCAUAAACUAUGUUACUCAUUCUGUCUUCAUCGGUUUGAAAACAUCCAUUCUCAUCAAUAAGUCCCUUAAUUUUCUUUCUUCUUCUUCUCUGUGCAGCAAAUUGUUGAAAGAAACUGGUGUUACGGUCACCAUGUUUCAACCAAUUUGCUCUCGCUCUCUGAAUCCAGUAGAUUUCCUCUUGCUCUAGAAUGAGUUCAAUGCGUAACAAAAUCUCUUUUUGCUCAUCCAAUCAUUCCACAGAAGUAACAGAACGUUGGCAUCCUUUCAUAAGUUACUGGAUACAAUAUUCUUUCCUUGAUCGUGAUUGGGACAAACCGAACGAGGGGUUUACUCAAAUCUAAGAAAACCCUAGCUCUGAGGUAUUUAACAGGAUUGAUUCUCCCCUCAUCUACUAUAACUGUGAAUGGUUGUUCACCAACCUUCUUAGCAACCCUCUCUGCUAGUUCUCUCUUCUUCAUCAACCCAUCAGGCACCCCAUGAAUGCGCGUCCAAACUGGAAUUUUAUCCAACUUAUAAUCAAACACAUUAGUGAAGCCAUCAUAUUCUUUAAGGACUACAGGAGCUCCUCUAAAGAUCCAUGGACCUCCUUCCAUGACUCUGUUCCAAUCACCAAGGCAUUGAAAUUGUACCAUAAAGAGAUUUGAAUCCAUUACCUUAAACGAGAUAUCCUGUGCCGAAGACCAGGCGUUUCUCAUAGCAUUCAACAGCGCUGAGUGGCUAAAGGGUUUUGUAGUAUAAACCCUAAAAAGAGCGAGCCAGCGUACGUCCUUGAUCAGCCCUUCCAAUUCCUCCGAGAAAUCUAGGUCAGUUUCCUCCUCCCCAUGCAUAUUCAACCUCUUCAAUCUCUCUUCCAGAUUUGGUUCGGAUCCCAUCUCUCCAUCACGCCCAGUCUCCUCCUCCGUAGGGCGCUUGGUUUCAUCCUCGGCAGAUGAUCGAGUAUCUGCCAUACUACCUUGAUCCCCGAGAAAACUUUCUCAGCGAAGGGUUUAACGAUCUCUCACUUCGCGAGAAGGAGAAAACACCUUACACCAGAUUGUUUUGAACGAUAGAACUCAGACGGGGGCGCCGCCUGAGGAAAAAAGAAACCCUAGAAAACUAGGGUAAACUACCAUCAAAUAGAAAUUAGCAACUACUCCUUCGGACUACUUUUCUCCCCCUUCAUGGUAUUUAAUCACAUAAACAAAGAGAGGUGAAGAGAUGUUGUGGCUGUGAUGUAAAUGACAAUUGGGCCCUAUGAAGUGAUUUCCUAGAAAUGUACGAGACGUAAGGUGGUACUUUAAGUGAAAAUUGAUUUUAAACCCUUCUCUCACCUUUUGAGAAAAAAAAGAAGAUUUAAAAGAGUGAAGAGUAGAUGAUGUGUUGGCUGUGAUUGUAUGAUGAGUGGGCCCCGCAAGGACUUGGUCCCACAUGUAAGGGAGAGAUGUAGAAAGAGAGAACUAGAAGCUCUAAAUUUUCCCAAGUGUUGGCACUAUUUCAUUUUACUAGAUUACUCUCAUCCUCCCAUCCAUUCAAUUUUUAAUUAAGGGGGGGACAAGGAGACAGAAAGCUAGACAAGUAUGUGAUGUAUCAAAUGUGCCAAGUUCCAAGAUUUAAUUACUUUUGCUUUUACCAUAGUAAUUUAGUAAAGUUGACUAGGUGGAUUGUUGAUUGCAUUUUAGAAUACUGUUUACCUAACUUUUGGCUCUCAAUUCCUUUGGUUAUAUUUCGAAUUAGACGAAGCCAUUGCAUCAGGUUGUAGAGUAAUGUAUAAUUAACAUUCUGACAAGGGGCUUUGAUAAAUAAGUUAUGGUUAAAAUUUGAUGAUUAUGCAAAGUAGGCUAAUUGGUAUGCUGGUUUCAGAUUUAUUGCUGAGUUGAAGAAUUUAUUUGUGGUACUAGUUGAUGUGAUAAAUUCAAACUAAAAUUACUGGGAGAUUAGGGUGUUGUGUAGUAUUUAUGAGAAUUUUUGUGGGAUUAAUUGUUGAUUCAUCUAUUUUUAAGAAUUUUCUUUAGACAUGACAUGCAUAUGCAAUCUAUUAUGAGAUGCACCAAGAAGAUCCAAAAACAAUCUUAAAACAAUAAUAUGCACAACCAAGCAAGUUCAUUUUAUCUCAAUUCAGAUGUGCUUAUUUUGAAACCUACCUUUCCAUUUGUUUUAUAUAUGACUUAAUUAUUUUUAGUUAGGUUAGCAAUUCAAAACCAAGAAGAUUAGGUUUCCAGUUUAAGGUCAAAGCAAAAUAUUUUAUUUUGAAAUUUAUUACCACAAGAUUUGUAAACUUUUAUUUUGGUCUUUGGUUUGAUUUUUCCCAACUAGACUAUGUGUUUAUUUUAUUUAAGGGAGUUAUAUGCUCUAGUAUGCUUCUAUGUUCACCGAAAACUUUAGAAUUCAGAAAGUUUUAAAUUUUCCACAAAAAAUUUUCCCUAGGUGAAAUUCCUGGUAUGUUACACUUGUUUUAUGAUUUUCAAUAGAGAUAGUAUCAGGGUUUCAGCCGAUCUUACCUGAUUUAGUUAUUUUGUUUCAUAUAUGUUAACUUGCUAUACUAAAUCUACCAUUUAUAUUAAGAUCUCACUUGGAUAAAAUAUAUUAAACUUGUUAUCAACCUUUUAAGUUAUCCCGAUGUUAGAUUGAUUUCUGUUUGGUAUAUUGAAUCUAUAUUGAUAUCUUAGUACAAAGUGGUAUCAGAGUACUAGCCGAUACAUAUUAGAUUUAUCCUAUCGGCUAUGCUAUGAAUAUAUAUAAUCUUUGCUCUGAAGUAGUUUUAGACAUAAGUGAUUUAUACUGUCUCGGCAUGCUGUCCGAUCUAUCCCAAUCACUUAGUUUAAAUAUAUUUUCGAAGCAUUGAUUAUAUAUUAUUGAUAUCUACAGCCGAUCGAGUAGAUCUAAUUCUUUCAUUAUUAUAUAUUUCACUGCUGAUCUGAUCCAUGUUACAUUGGUCCAGUGUUAAACGAUACGUCAUCGGCAAUCCAGCCGAUCGGCUAUCGUUUAUAGAUUUAACUUUGGAUUCUUUGUUUCUUGUUGGUUGCAGGAUCAAACCAACUGGCACGACCUAAACCCGAAAGCAAAUCUUUGAACCUGCACUAGAGUAAAGCAAAUUUCUCAGGCCAGUGUGUGUUUUUCGCAUCAACAGAAGUCUGGGACAUCAUUCUCAAGACAUGGUUCAGGGGACUCAGAUGGUAGAACAACCGUUACUUCCUCCGCAUAUUCAUCUUCAGGAAUGGAGUCAGUCAAGGCGAACCUUGAUUGCUUGAAUGGGAUUGAAAACUCAUUCCCUCCUAAAGAGAAUUUGAGGCUGCCUAAUCGAGGGUGUUGAUAAGAAGUUUCUCGAUGGGAUGCCUGAUUAGAACAUCAAUUUCAUGGAUUUCAAAGACAUGAUUUCAAGAUUGCCUCUUUGUCGUCAUGAAUGAUGGGCACAUCCUGGACAAUCUCAAAUCCUUCAAUAAGAUUCCCGUUGGGAUGCUUGAAGAAUUUGUUAGUCGGUGUAAUUGUCUUGUCGCUCAGGUAAGUGAUCGCAAAGGGUUCUGGAAUUUAUAUACAUUAUACAUAUAUAUGUAUGUAUAUGUAUAUGUAUAUGUAUAUGGUCCAAGUAAUAAAUGCCCAAGUUUCUUUAGGAUCCCAAUUCCAGUAGGAUCCCCACGCCUCAUUAGCCCAUACUGCUCCACAAAGAAUACCUAUGGUUAAAAGGGUAAACCCUAGACUAAUGACACGAUAACUCCAAGAAUCCAAACGCUCAAUUAAUUGAUAUUUGUAAUAAUUUGGAAAUAAAGGAAAAAAGGUGCUUUUUAAAGCACUUCUUUUUGCAUAGAAAUAUUCAAUCUCAUUAAAGAAAAAUGUUUUAAGCAAAACAUUUUUCUUCUUUUUCGAAAAGAAAUCUAAAUUCUUUCGAAAUCUAAUCAUUAGAAGAGCGGCGGAUAAUAAGGAUCCGCACAAAAGAGUCGCAUAGCUUAGUAACAUCAUACUGACAUGCAUCAUUAACCACUGAGAUUGUAGAGCAGGUACUAGUAUUGUGGAUUGAUGCAUUUCAGUUAAAAGACCCGACGUGGCAACAUGGAAUGGUUCGAGGAGUGGUAAUGAUCCGAAUUACUCUGGAAGAAAGCUCUGCUGUUGAUGACCAAAUUUGGUAGGACAUGCAUCAAAAUCGAAUCGGAUUUGGCGGAGGAUCGUUUCUCAGAAACAGAGUACGCAUCAGCUACGAAAGGCAUCAGCUAAGUGACUGCAUCGGCUAAUGAUGGAUCAGUGUCACACCCCGAAGUUCUCCUCCCAAGCCUAAAAUUUAAUUUUUAAAACGACCCCAAGAAAAUGCAGGUGAAAUCAAGAGAAAACCCUAAGAAAGUAAUGCAAAUAAUAAUCGGAUUUGACAUGUGGAAUUUUUCUUGAGUUCUACAUGUCGAAAUUCAUUAACAGGAUUUUUAGUGGAAUUUUCAGAGCUCUAGAAAUAAUUUUCACCAAUUAAAAUUUAGCAAGCAAUAUUUUAAUUCCAGGGAAAAUCCUUUUUCCUUUUUCUUUUUUUUUCUUUUCUUUUUCCUCUCUUUUCCUCUUUUUUUUCCCGAAUGGGCCGCCGGCCCAUUCUCUCCUUUCUCCCCCCUCCCUGCUGGGCCGGCCGCAGGCCGAGGCCCAGCCAGGCCGCCCCGCCGCCCUCCUCUCUCGGGGUCGCCGACAGGUGGGGCCCACCUGUCGGGUCCUUCCCCCACCUCCCGCCGCUCCCGGCGCGCCACCGCGCCCGCAACCGCCGCCGCGCCCACGUCUCCGCCUCCUUCGGGCCACGUCGACCACGUCCGCGCUUGCGCCGCGUCUCCCGCGCCCACUCCCCUCUCUCUCCCGCCCGCGCCCGCGUCCGAGAUGGCCGGGAUUCGAUUUUCGAAUCCCGCCUCUCUCUCCUCCCCCACUCCCCACGUCGGCCGGCGAUUCCCGCCUCUCCCGGCCACGUCCGGUUCUCUCUCUCCCAAUUUAAUCUUCUCCGUCGCCCCCUCUCGCUUUUUCCCCAUUUCGCCGACCUCUCCCGAGCCUCCCAUCGCUCCCGCGCCGUGCAACCUCUUGCCGCCGCUGUUUCCGCUACUCCGGCCGCCAUUAGCCGCCGCUAGGGUCGCCGCCGCACCACGCCGUCUUCGCCGUCGGGUUCGCAAGGCUAAGCUCCACCCCGGCCGCCCCUUCCCCGUCGAGUUUCGUCGCCGAAAUUCGCCUCCCCUCGCGCUCCGGUGAGUUCAACCGCUACCGCCGCUUUCGGCCGUGAAUACCGGUCGCCGUGGUUCAUCUCCCUCUAUCUAAUCCCUCUCUUCUCCUUCCUUAGGGCACCCGGAAGCUCGUCCGCCGGUUGCCGUAUCCUCCCCUUCCUAGCCGCCACUUAGCGCAGCCGCCUUCGCGUCGCCUUUUGCGCCGUCGCCUUCGCCGCCGGUUGCCGUCGCCGGCAAUGCGUUCGCGCGCGCGCCGUCGCCGUCGCCGCGGCCGGUCGGCCGGCCUUGAGCCAAGCCGAGCCGGGUGCCGCCGCCCCUUUCCUCCCGAGCCGCUGACCAGUGGGCCCGCGUGCCGGCGCCCUUUCCUCCCUCUCCCGAGCCGCUGACCGGUGGGCCCCGCAUGUCGGCGCCGCUUCCCCUGUGCUGACGUCAGCCCUGGAAAAUAUUGCGCAAUAAAUUAUUUAAGGAUUUCUGUUAUAGUAAUAAACACAGUGAAUCUUCUAAAAUCCAUAACUAAUUCAUCCGAGCUCCGUUUAAGCCCAUUCAAGUCUCAGUAAAUCAAGAAAACUGUGCAGAAUCCAUUAAAAAUGGUUUUGUUCCCUGUUUCAGUAGUCUUAUAGCCUGUUUGCAAUGUUUGCUUUGUAUGUCGCUAGAUUCCGAUUCCUCCGACGCUCCGGGGUACUUCGAGAUAGUCGCCGAGGUUCCUCCAGCAGCAGAGCAAGGCAAGUCAUGCUUGUCACUUGAACAUGUUGAUCCUAUAUUGCAAAUGCUCUAUUGUUUUCUUUCAAAUAUUGCAUUGUUUUAUAAUAUUACUAUGGGAUGGUUACCUAUUGUUACAGCCAUGCUUUUCGGAUACCAUGCUCCUUUGUUAGCUUGGGGUUAUAACAUGAUUAGAGUUUGGACUAGGAAUUGCUUAGCCAUGCUUAGUUCAACUAGUUCACAACGGGGAAAAUCAUAUUAAUGUUUAGACUAUUGGUUCCAAUGGUGUUGUUGGAUUAGUGACACCGUUUUGGUGUUGGUUAAUUAAAAUAAACCACAUGGUGGGCUGUGGGUGCAUGGUUUUGCUGGUCGCACCCAUGGCAGUUAAGGACCGGUUCGCGGGAUGCCCUGGAAGAACUUAUCGUACUUACCACAAGCCAGCGUGGGCAACGGCUGGACUUGUAGUGUAUCUUUCCUCUAGUCGACGCAUCCAGGCAAGGGUGGGCGUGAUGGAGCGGGGCGGGCCCUGCGACGGCCUCUGUCGCUUCCGGAUUCACCUAGGCACGAGAGGGGACUGCCCGUUGCCCGCUGGGGACGGGGGUGAAACCUGAGGUGUGGUGUGCUUGGCUAGAGGGGGUUAUGCAAAGGGUCCUGUCACGGCCUCUUUCCGAUAUGUCGUGGUGGCAUGUCGGCGCACGGAAACGUGUUGUGGGGCUGUGUCUUGUGGGUACAGUUGUACACCUCUGAUCAGAGUAAAACUAUUCGAAUAGCCGUGCCCGCGGUUAUGGGCGGUCAACCAGAUUCACCGUGAUUAGUCUCACCUUAGUGUAAUCUUUUAAUUUGGAUAGUUUAGGUGGAUGGUUGGGCCUGUCGCAACAUGGGUUAGCGUUGGACAGUGGAUAGUUGAUGUUAAUUAAUUAUUACAACUGUUUAAAUCUUUCACUUUCUGUUUAUAAAUGCUCGCUUUAUGCAAAUGAACCACUUCAGCUCUUCUUUGAUGAUUCCCUGCAUCAUACCCCUAUUCCGGUAUGACUUGCUGAGUACAGUGGGUAGUACUCAGUCUUGCUCUACUUUUCCCAACCCCAGAUUUCGAGUUCGGGUCAGAUGAAGGUUUCUCCGAGGAGUAGGCUUUGUCCGUGCCGUCGAGGAUGCCUGUGGAGUGGUGUUCCCGCUGCAGUUCAAGUCAAGGCUUAGCUCCUGUUGUCUUUCUUUCUUUCCGCUGCAUUUAUGUAAGACUUUUAUGAUGUUUGUAAGACGUGGAUCUGAAUGUCAACAUUGUCGUUUGUGUACCCCGGCUGGUCCUGGACGGGGAUUUUAAUGCACAUUUUGCUUGGAAUUCUAUUCGGGAAUUUCUGGGCGUGACAAGUUGGUAUCAGAUCCGACAUUGACCGUAGGACAAGCCAAAUGGAAAAACCUAAGAGCCCUCUGAAUCCUUUUCAUUGCAUAUGUUCCUUGCAAUUGGAUUUUAUUCCGGGAAAAUUGGGAUCAGUUUUUGUGGUUCAAGGGAAAAAUCUUGGUCGCUCGUUUAAAGUGAGAUUUGUCAAAACAAGUCAGUCCAGGGUUUUAGUAAAACUGUUGAGAUUUAUUCGUCAGUCAGUUGGGAUUUGAUGGGUGAAAUGCAUUAGGUCCUAGCUCAGGAACAUGGGUUGCAAGGUAUUUAUGCUUUAUUUGUUAUUAUUAGUAUGUAUCUAAUUUCUCAUUAUUUUAUCGUUAUGUGAGUCUGUCUUAUUUAUUCGCUCUCAUGCAAAAUGAUCUAUGCAUAAAAAUUUCGCUUUCAUUCGAUUCUCUUAUUUGAGUCUUUUAUUGCUUUAUUUAAACUUGGAUUUGAGCAUGCAUUGAUCCUACUCCUCUGUCUUCUCUAGAUGGCCGGCCACCCACCCAACCACCGCGGAGAAGGCAUGAUCGACUUUGUGGCAGAGUUGGCACGCAUGACAUUGGUGGUGGGCUACCCCAACGCGCCAGAGUAUACGACGAUUCCACCGCUCAGUGGCGAGCUUCCUCACCGUGUUCGCUUGGAGGUCCACGGCUACGUGGGUACCUGCCUAGCUAACAUGGUGGUCGAGGCAUCUGGAGGCACAGCAGAUCACGCCUGUCAGGAGGCAGCCUACUUGAUGAUGGCCAGACUACGGGAGUGCCACAACUACAUCUUCCACGACACGGCGUACCGCUUCCACCCCCGUCGAGCCAACGGUGAUGACGUCAGCUCCUUCCAUCCGACAGCUGGCGAGAACGACACCACCUUUGGUCACAUGUGUGCUGUGAUGAGGGGAUUGGACAGGAUGCACUCAGACCUGCACAAGGCGACCAAGGCCUUGAACGAUGGGAAGCUCAUGAGGAUCGUCGCUCUGAAGGACAAGAUAGCGCGCCUGAAGAGGGAGAACGCUCAGCUAAAGGGUCUUCCAGCGCCAGGAGGAGUCCGGAUCCGCACUACGCCCCGCAAGACGACGACGGCACCCGUGCGCAUCCAGCUUGCGCCCAGGAACCCACCUCCAUCCGCAGCUCCCGCAGCACCUCCAGUUCCGCCCGCAGCUCCGGCAGUUCCUGCAGCUCCAGCUCCUGCGUCCGCUCUCUCCUUCGCUCCCGCAUCAGCCGCCAGGGGUCCAGCCAGUGGCAAUGGAGGUUGGUUGUCUGCUACUCCCAGUGGCUCAGAGUCAGGCAGUGGCGAGACUUAUCUGCCAGGCUCCGGGAGUCGCUCAGAGGGACUUGGUGACGAGCAGGAGGACGUCUUCGACUCCACCGACCGCAGGAGCCGUUCCGAGCAUUAGGCUCGUUUUCCAUUAGUUUAUCGACUGUCUAGCUUCUGCUUGUUAAUUUGUGUGUUUAGGUUGCUUGUUUGGGGUUAGUCGACAGUCGAUAUCAUGUGCCUAUGAUAUGGCUGUCUUAAUAAGGAUUUUUGCUUGCUCUUUAAGUGUUUUAAUUCAGAUCAGAACAAUUGCAGUUUUAAUUCCUUUGUAAUAAAGCUUAGUUCCUGAGCAUCUGUUUUUCUUCUUUUCCCCGUCUGCUUUUCCCUCCAGAUGGUCUACACCAGGAAUGGUAGCCGCGCAACAGGCGAGGGCAGCAACGGCGAAGAACGCGCUGAUGGUGUGCACCCCAGCAGUGAUUCCGGCAAUGGUCCGCCACCACUUCCCGAGAAUCCGACCCUUGCCCAAGUUAUGGCACAUCAGACUCAGAUGAUGGCAGCCAUGAUGCAGCAGAUGCAGCAGCAGCACCAGCAGAUGCACCAGAGGAUGAUGCAGCACGUCGAACAGCAGCACCAGCAGUUUGGUCCCCCUCCCCCUCAGUCCAAGUUGCCAGAGUUUCUACGCGUCAGGCCACCCACCUUCUCAAGCACCACCAACCCCAUGGAGGCGAAUGACUGGCUCCAUGCCAUAGAGAAGAAGCUGAAUCGCCUGCAGUGCAAUGAUCAGGAGAAGGUCGCUUUCGCCACACACCAGCUUCAGGGUCCCGCGUCAGCUUGGUGGGACAAUCACAUGGCCACCCGCCCACCAGGUACUGAAGUCACAUGGGCAGAGUUCUGCCGUAGCUUCUGGAAGGCGCAGGUGCCAGACGGGGUCGUGGCACAAAAGAAGAGGGAAUUCCGGGCACUCCAUCAGGGCAACAGGACUGUGACAGAGUACCUCCACGAGUUCAAUCGCCUCGCGCGAUAUGCACCAGAGGAUGUCCGCACCGACGCCGAGAAGCAGGAGAAGUUCAUGGCGGGUCUGGAUGAUGAGCUGACCAACCAACUGAUAUCCGGGGACUACGCUGACUUUGAGAGGUUGGUUGACAAGGCAAUCCGCCAGGAGGAUCAACGCAACAAGAUGGACAGGAAGAGGAAGGCCGCACAGUUCAGGGCACCUCAGGGAAGUCACCAGAGGCCGCGCUUCGCUCCUGGGCAGCAGGGUGGACCUACCACCAUGAUCGUUCGUCAGCACCGCCCGUUCAACCCUAGCAACUUUCCCCAGGGCGCCAGUGGCAGUCAGAACCACCAUGGAGGUCAGUCCAACCGCGGUGCAGCUUCACGCCCACCAAUGGCACCGGCACAGUCAGGCCCGCCCGCGCAAGCCAAGAAGGAGACUGGAGCAAAACCAGGGUCCUGCUUCAACUGUGGCGAGCUUGGCCACUUCGCUGACAAAUGCCCGAAGCCUAGGCGUGCCGGGCCAAGGUUUAUCCAGGCUCGUGUCAACCACGCAUCUGCGGAGGAGGCACAAGCAGCACCAGAGGUCGUACUGGGUACGUUCCCUGUUAACUCAAUCCCUGCAACAGUACUUUUUGAUUCUGGUGCGACGCAUUCUUUCAUUUCAAAGAAAUUUGUCGGGAUGCAUCUGUUAAUAAGAGAGGAACUUAGCACACCAAUGCGGGUUCAUACCCCAGGGAAUAGCUCCACUUCGGUUCAAUUCAGCCCUUCUAUAACAAUAGAAAUUCAAAGAUCACCAUUUCUAGCCAACCUCAUUCUUCUCGAAUCCAAAGACCUAGAUGUCAUUCUUGGGAUGGAUUGGCUGACCAAGUUUAAGGGGGUCAUCGAUUGUGCGAAUCGCACAGUCACCUUGAUCAACGAGAAGGGAGAAACCGUGGUGUACAAAUCUCUAGUCUCGCCAAAGAAAGGGGUCUCUUUGAAUCAGAUUGAAGCGGAAAUCCCAGUGGACACCGUAGAGAAGAACUCGAGAAAAUUGGAAGAUAUACCCAUAGUCUGCGAGUAUCCAGAAGUGUUCCCCGAAGACCUCACUACCAUGCCACCCAAGAGAGAGAUUGAAUUCCGGAUUGACUUGGCACCGGGAACUGCUCCAAUCUAUAAGAGACCAUACAGGAUGGCGGCCAACGAACUAGCAGAGGUCAAGAAACAGGUUGAUGAGCAGCUGCAGAAAGGGUACAUUCGACCAAGUACUUCACCUUUGGGUGCUCCGGUCAUUUUUGUGGAGAAAAAGGAUAAGACGAAGAGGAUGUGCGUUGAUUACCACGCACUCAACGAGGUCACAAUCAAGAACAAAUAUCCUUUGCCGCGAAUCGAUGAUUUGUUUGAUCAACUGAAAGGAGCUAAAGUGUUUUCUAAGAUAGACCUGCGAUCAGGCUACCACCAGUUGAGAAUUCGGGAAGAGGAUAUUCCGAAGACGGCCUUCACCACUCGGUACGGGCUAUAUGAGUGCACGGUUAUGUCUUUCGGACUCACCAACGCACCCGCAUUCUUCAUGAAUCUGAUGAACAAAGUGUUCAUGGAAUUUCUGGACAAGUUUGUUGUGGUGUUCAUCGACGACAUUCUUAUCUAUUCAAAGUCCGAAGAAAAACAUGAACAACAUUUCCGUCUGGUACUCGAGAAGUUGAGGGAGCACCAGCUAUAUGCCAAGUUCAGCAAGUGUGACUUCUGGUUGACGGAAGUCAAAUUUUUGGGCCAUGUCAUUACAGCUCAGGGUGUGGCAGUCGACCCAUCGAACGUGGAGUCAGUUACCAAAUGGACCCCACCGAAGACCGUGUCGUAGAUUCGAAGUUUUCUUGGACUUGAAGGUUAUUACCGUCGAUUCAUCGAAAAUUUCUCCAGAAUCGCCCGACCCAUGACUCAGUUGCUUAAGAAGGAUGAGAAGUUUAAAUGGACAGCCGAGUGCGAUAAGAGCUUCGAGGAGCUCAAGAAGAAAUUAGUAUCCGCACCCGUUUUGAUUCUGCCCGACCCGAUGAAAGACUUCCAAGUCUAUUGUGAUGCAUCCCGUCACGGACUUGGAUGUGUCCUAAUGCAAGAGGGCAGAGUGGUUGCGUAUGCCUCACGGCAGUUGCGUCCACACGAAGGGAAUUAUCCAACUCAUGACUUGGAAUUGGCAGCAGUGGUUCAUGCUUUGAAGAUCUGGAGGCACUAUCUGAUUGGCAACCGCUGCGAAGUAUAUACGGACCAUAAGAGUCUGAAAUACAUCUUCACCCAACCGGACCUAAAUCUCCGACAACGAAGAUGGUUGGAACUAAUCAAAGACUAUGACAUGAGUAUUCACUACCACCCGGGUAAAGCCAAUGUGGUGGCAGACGCUUUAAGCCGGAAAAGUUACUGCACUGCCCUAUGCAUCGAGGGCAUGUGUGAGGAAUUGCGGCAGGAGUUUGAGCAUCUCAACGUGGGAAUUGUUGAACUCGGGUUCGUAGCCGCUCUGGAGGCACGGCCUACGCUCAAGCAAAUGAUUCUGAAAUAGCAGAGCUGAAAAAGAACAUGAGUGUCGGAAAAGCCCGGGAUUUCCACGAAGAUGAGCAUGGCACAAUCUGGUUGGGAGAAAGAUUGUGUGUACCUGACGACAAGGAACUGAAGGAUCUGAUACUCACCGAGGCUCAUCAGACCCAGUACUCCAUUCACCCAGGCAGCACUAAAAUGUAUCAAGACCUCAAAGAAAAGUUUUGGUGGGUCAGCAUGAGGAGAGAAAUAGCUGAAUUCGUCGCACUCUGCGAUGUUUGCCAACGAGUGAAGGCAGAGCACCAAAGACCAGCAGGUUUACUUCAACCUCUUCAAAUCCCGGAAUGGAAAUGGGAGGAGAUUGGAAUGGACUUUAUAACAGGACUGCCCCGGACAUCAUCGGGUCACGAAUCGAUCUGGGUAGUUGUGGAUCGACUCACUAAGGUUGCUCACUUCAUACCAGUACAUACCACAUAUACGGGCAAAAGGUUGGCGGAGCUUUACCUUUCGAGAAUCAUGUGCCUACAUGGAGUACCCAAAAAGAUUGUAUCUGACCGAGGGAGUCAGUUCACCUCAAAAUUCUGGCAGAAGCUACAGGAAGAACUGGGGACCCGUUUAAAUUUCAGCACGGCCUAUCACCCGCAAACUGAUGGUCAGACCGAGCGAGUCAAUCAAAUCUUGGAAGAUAUGUUGAGAGCUUGUGCUCUUGAUUUUGGUGGAGCUUGGGACAAAAGCUUGCCAUAUGCGGAAUUCUCGUACAACAACAGCUACCAGGCCAGUCUACAGAUGGCACCGUUUGAAGCUUUAUACGGCCGGAAGUGUCGCACACCUCUCUUCUGGGAUCAGACAGGCGAACGUCAACUGUUCGGAACAGAAGUAUUAGCGGAAGCAGAAGAGAAAGUCAGAAUCAUCAGGGAAAGAUUGAGGAUUGCUCAGUCUCGACAGAAGAGCUACGCGGAUAACCGUCGAAGGGAGCUCACUUUUGAGGCAGGAGAUUACGUGUAUCUUCGUGUCACUCCGCUCCGGGGAGUACACUGGUUUCAGACGAAAGGCAAGUUGGCACCACGCUUCGUGGGACUAUACAAAAUCUUGGAACGAAGGGGAGAAGUUGCUUAUCAGUUAGAACUUCCAUCCAAUAUGAUCGGCACCCAUGACGUGUUCCAUGUGUCCCAAUUAAAGAAGUGCUUAAGGGUACCUGAAGAACAGGCUGAUUCGGAGCACAUUGAUAUCCAGGAGGACCUAACAUAUGUGGAGAAGCCGGUUCGUAUACUUGAUACCAGCGAAAGAAGAACCAGAAAUAAGGUCACCAGGUUUUGCCGAGUUCAGUGGAGUCAUCAUUCAGAAGAGGAAGCAACCUGGGAAAGGGAAGAUGAGUUGAAAGCCGCCCAUCCGCACCUCUUCAGCAGCUCCUCCGAAUCUCGGGGCCGAGAUUCCGUUUAAAGGGGGGGUAGGUUUGUCACACCCCGAAGUUCUCCUCCCAAGCCUAAAAUUUAAUUUUUAAAACGACCCCAAGAAAAUGCAGGAGAAAUCAAGAGAAAACCCUAAGAAAGUAAUGCAAAUAAUAAUCGGAUUUGACAUGUGGAAUUUUUCUUGAGUUAUACAUGUCGAAAUUCAUUAACAGGAUUUUUAGUGGAAUUUUCAGAGCUCUAGAAAUAAUUUUAACCAAUUAAAAUUGAGCAAGCAAUAUUUUAAUUCUAGGGAAAAUCCUUUUUCCUUUUUCUUUUUUUUUCUUUUCUUUUUCCUCUCUUUUCCUCUUUUUUUUCCCGAAUGGGCCGCCGGCCCAUUCUCUCCUUUCUCCCCCCCUCCCUGCUGGGCCGGCCGCAGGCCGAGGCCCAGCCAGGCCGCCCCGCCGCCCUCCUCUCUCGGGGUCGCCGACAGGUGGGGCCCACCUGUCGGGUCCUUCCCCCACCUCCCGCCGCUCCCGGCGCGCCACCGCGCCCGCAACCGCUGCCGCGCCCACGUCUCCGCCUCCUUCGGGCCACGUCGACCACGUCCGCGCUUGCGCCGCGUCUCCCGCGCCCACUCCCCUCUCUCUCCCGCCCGCGCCCGCGUCCGAGAUGGCCGGGAUUCGAUUUUCGAAUCCCGCCUCUCUCUCCUCCCCCACUCCCCACGUCGGCCGGCGAUUCCCACCUCUCCCGGCCACGUCCGGUUCUCUCUCCCUAUUUAAUCUUCUCCGUCGCCCCCUCUCGCUUUUUCCCCAUUUCGCCGACCUCUCCCGAGCCUCCCAUCGCUCCCGCGCCGUGCAACCUCUUGCCGCCGCUGUUUCCGCUACUCCGGCCGCCAUUAGCCGCCGCUAGGGUCGCCGCCGCACCACGCCGUCUUCGCCGUCGGGUUCGCAAGGCUAAGCUCCACCCCGGCCGCCCCUUCCCCGUCGAGUUUCGUCGCCGAAAUUCGCCUCCCCUCGCGCUGCGGUGAGUUCAACCGCUACCGCCGCUUUCGGCCGUGAAUACCGGUCGCCGUGGUUCAUCUCCCUCUAUCUAAUCCCUCUCUUCUCCUUCCUUAGGGCACCCGGAAGCUCGUCCGCCGGUUGCCGUAUCCUCCCGUGGCUUGCCGUCGCCGUUCGCCAUCGUCUUCCUCCGCGCCGGCCACCCUCGGUGAGGCAUCCCUCCCCUCUUUUCCCCUUCCUCUCCUCCUAGUGCCGCGCCGCCGCUUCAAGUUGCGCACCGUCGCCUUCGGCCGCCACCGCCGCCUCCCGUGCCGCCGGUCGCCGCCGUCGUCGGCCGCAUGCCGUCGCCGCUAGACCUGGCCGGCAGGUCGGCUUUGAUGCCGAGCCGAGCCGGCGGCCGCCUUUAUCGCCGCCCGUUCCCUCCCCUUCCUAGCCGCCACUUAGCGCAGCCGCCUUCGCGUCGCCUUUUGCGCCGUCGCCUUCGCCGCCGGUUGCCGUCGCCGGCAACGCGUUCGCGCGCGCGCCGUCGCCGUCGCCGCGGCCGGUCGGCCGGCCUUGAGCCAAGCCGAGCCGGGUGCCGCCGCCCCUUUCCUCCCGAGCCGCUGACCAGUGGGCCCGCGUGCCGGUGCCCUUUCCUCCCUCUCCCGAGCCGCUGACCGGUGGGCCCCGCAUGUCGGCGCCGCUUCCCCUGUGCUGACGUCAGCCCUGGAAAAUAUUGCGCAAUAAAUUAUUUAAGGAUUUCUGUUAUAGUAAUAAACACAGUGAAUCUUCUAAAAUCCAUAACUAAUUCAUCCGAGCUCCGUUUAAGCCCAUUCAAGUCUCAGUAAAUCAAGAAAACUGUGCAGAAUCCAUUAAAAAUGGUUUUGUUCCCUGUUUCAGUAGUCUUAUAGCCUGUUUGCAAUGUUUGCUUUGUAUGUCGCUAGAUUCCGAUUCCUCCGACGCUCCGGGGUACUUCGAGAUAGUCGCCGAGGUUCCUCCAGCAGCAGAGCAAGGCAAGUCAUGCUUGUCACUUGAACAUAUUGAUCAUAUAUUGCAAAUGCUCUAUUGUUUUCUUUCAAAUAUUGCAUUGUUUUAUAAUAUUACUAUGGGAUGGUUACCUAUUGUUACAGCCAUGCUUUUCGGAUACCAUGCUCCUUUGUUAGCUUGGGGUUAUAACAUGAUUAGAGUUUGGACUAGGAAUUGCUUAGCCAUGCUUAGUUCAACUAGUUCACAACGGGGAAAAUCAUAUUAAUGUUUAGACUGUUGGUUCCAAUGGUGUUGUUGGAUUAGUGACACCGUUUUGGUGUUGGUUAAUUAAAAUAAACCACAUGGUGGGCUGUGGGUGCAUGGUUUUGCUGGUCGCACCCAUGGCAGUUAAGGACCGGUUCGCGGGAUGCCCUGGAAGAACUUAUCGUACUUACCACAAGCCAGCGUGGGCAACGGCUGGACUUGUAGUGUAUCUUUCCUCUAGUCGACGCAUCCAGGCAAGGGUGGGCGUGAUGGAGCGGGGCGGGCCCUGCGACGACCUCUGUCGCUUCCGGAUUCACCUAGGCACGAGAGGGGACUGCCCGUUGCCCGCUGGGGACGGGGGUGAAACCUGAGGUGUGGUGUGCUUUGCUAGAGGGGGUUAUGCAAAGGGUCCUGUCACGGCCUCUUUCCGAUAUGUCGUGGUGGCAUGUCGGCGCACGGAAACGUGUUGUGGGGCUGUGUCUUGUGGGUACAGUUGUACACCUCUGAUCAGAGUAAAACUAUUCGAAUAGCCGUGCCCGCGGUUAUGGGCGGUCAACCAGAUUCACCGUGAUUAGUCUCACCUUAGUGCAAUCUUUUAAUUUGGAUAGUUUAGGUGGAUGGUUGGGCCUGUCGCAACAUGGGUUAGCGUUGGACAGUGGAUAGUUGAUGUUAAUUAAUUAUUACAACUGUUUAAAUCUUUCACUUUCUGUUUAUAAAUGCUCGCUUUAUGCAAAUGAACCACUUCAGCUCUUCUUUGAUGAUUCCCUGCAUCAUACCCCUAUUCCGGUAUGACUUGCUGAGUACAGUGGGUAGUACUCAGUCUUGCUCUACUUUUCCCAACCCCAGAUUUCGAGUUCGGGUCAGAUGAAGGUUUCUCCGAGGAGUAGGCUUUGUCCGUGCCGUCGAGGAUGCCUGUGGAGUGGUGUUCCCGCUGCAGUUCAAGUCAAGGCUUAGCUCCUGUUGUCUUUCUUUCUUUCCGCUGCAUUUAUGUAAGACUUUUAUGAUGUUUGUAAGACGUGGAUCUGAAUGUCAACAUUGUCGUUUGUGUACCCCGGCUGGUCCUGGACGGGGAUUUUAAUGUACAUUUUGCUUGGAAUUCUAUUCGGGAAUUUCUGGGCGUGACAAUCAGAUAGAGGAUAGCCGAUGGAGCCGAUCUCGCUAAGGUGGCUCUACAAUCAUCUUUGGGAUUGAUCGACGUGCUGCACAAGUAUUGCCAUGAUUGAGAUGAGCUCACGGAUAGGCAAUUGUAUCUAUUAAUUAGGAUAUUGUGGGUAGUUUCCUUAGAGAUAUUUACCGGCAAGAGUCUGCCUAAAAGACUUGUCCGUAUCUUACGGUUGUAACAGAUUUAGAGUCGUGUCCGGCAAGGAUACAUUAUGUAUUUUGGGUGUAAAUAUAACCCAAGACCAUGUAUAAUGACAAAAACAAUUCAAUAACACUUUCGGCGCAUUGCCACCCUUUUCUACUUUCACUAUUUCGACGAGUUCUUGCUUUCGAGUUGGGCUGCAUCGGUUUCGAUCUCCGAUGAGAGGUAAAACUUGUCAUGGCGGCUUGCGUUCUCGGGAUUAGUGCUUACAUCUUCAUGAUACUCUAAUCUUGUUUAUGUGAAUCGUCGAGUUAUCAUAUACGCUAUAAAAUCUCAAUCAAUAUUGCUAUCUAACCCUAGAUCGGUUAAUAUCUAUUAAUAAGAAGGCGGCCGAUAGGGUUAGAUAUCAACGUUGAUCUAGUUUAUAUAGUAUAUCUACCAUCUCAAAGAGAUUUUCAUCGGUUUGUCUAGAUCUUAUGCUUCUUUUUGUACUUAAUGCUGCAUCGGUUAGGUUCGAUCUAUUAAGUAAUAUCUAGAAUUAUAAUAUCUAACUUGUUCUAUGAUUAUUGAUAGAGAUAGUAUCGGGGUUUCAGCCGAUCUUACCUGGUUUAGUUGUUUUAUUUGUUUGACAUGCUAAACUUGCCCUUUAUAUUAAGAUCUUAUUGCUUAGAAAUAUAUUAAGCUUGUUGUUUGGUAUAUUUUGUCUGUUUUAAUAUCUUAGUAUAGAUGGUAUCAGAGUAUUAGCCGAUAUAUCUUAGAUUUACCUCAUUGGCUAAGCUAUAAAUAUAUAUAAUCUUUGUCUUAAAGUACUUUUAAACAUAAGUGAUUUAUACUGUCUCGGCUCACUGUCCGAUCUAUCCCAAUCGCUUAGUUUAGACAUAUUUUUAGAAAAAGAUUAUAUAUCAUUGAUAUCUGCAGCCAAUCAAGUAGAUUUAAUUCUAUCUUGUUUAGUAUUUUAUUGCCGAUCUGGUUCACAUCACAUCGGCCUGAUAUCAAAUGAAACAUCAUCGGCAACACAGCCGAUCGGCUAUCAUUUGCGGACUUAAUUGUUCUUCUUUUAUUUCUUGUUGGUUGCAUGAUCAAACCAGCUGGCAUGCUCAAAACCCUAAAGCAAUUCUUAGGACCUGCACUGGAGCUAAGCAGAUCUCCUAGGCUAGUGUGUGUUUUUUGCAUCAACAUUUUCCUCCUUUAACCAUUCGUCACUCAUGAUGGAUGUCAGCUCCCGAACCGUUUCUUUCAGAUAUUGAUAUUCUAUCGGAUCAGGAGGUGGCAAGGGAAUAGGUGGUUUCUUUUUACUAAAAUAGUUCAAGGUGUUUCCAUAAUCUUCAUAAAGAUCAUCCCUGAACGUUGGAGCACAUCCCGGAGUUUGAAUUUCUUCGUUCUCAACAGGCAAUGGCUCGGCGGAAGGUUCCUCGGCCGAAUCGGUUGAGGUAGAUGGUUCAGACUAAGAUUCGGGUGUCGGAGGUUCCUCAAUCCUAGACACUGAUGCUUCCGGGAGGAGUUCAUUACAUUGAUCCAUGAAGGAAGUAUUUUCUAGAAUCCGAUCUAGACUUACUUUUCCUUCAGAUGGAGUUUAUUGCAUGAAUGAUCCUCCGGUAGUGAUGCCUAGAUAGAAUGCAGACUCCUUAUUAAUUCGGGGCGACUUUCAUAGCCAGUUGUAAAAAUUGGCCCCGAUGAAGGAGGUGGCUCAAAAGAUUUGCCCCGUGGAGCAGAUAGUUGAAAGAUAGAUUGUGGCUCCAUGGGUGAGAAGAGUUUUACAAGAAUACUUAUUGGGGAUAGCAGGGGUGAAGGUUGAAGAAUGAAAAGUAAAAAUGAUACGAAGAUGAACAAGGUUCGGAGAUGAACAUCAACCAUUCCCCGGCAACGGCGCCAGAAAUGUUUGUUGGUAUUUUUUAACGUCAUAGAUAAAAUCCGCAAGCACACGGAAGAUACCGAUGUAGCACUUCACCUGGAAGUAUUCCAAGGUAUCGAUUUCCCUAGGGAACGUGUGUGCUCAGCUCCUUGUCAGGUUCAUCCAAGGACACGAAGCAAAGGUAAGCAAAGGAUAGAGAGGAUUUACUAGUGAGAAAUAGUGUCUACAGAAAGCUCAGUUUAAUCCUAGUACUUCAGGCACUGGCCAGCUCGCUGCUCCUAGAUGUCACUCUACUGCGUACCCGGACAAGGAGGACUUUAGUGUAAUUGAGGGAUGUCACCACCUCUACACCCACCUCAAACCUACUGUGGGAUACGAAGCAACCACCGGAAAUUAAUUACCCUGGCACCACGUCUACACAAUUAAUUACUUUAGCGCUAGCUAAACACUAAAGCAAUCACUAUAUUUUAAAGGACUAUAGUGAACAAUGAUCCCGCACGCUAAUUAGAAACUAACCAAGAAUUAAUUCUCACCGAGUAAAUCUUAAUUACUCAGAAUGAUAAUUCUAUUAAAACAGAGUAAUUAACAAAGUAUAAGAAAUAAGAGAGGAUUACCGACAACUCCGGAAUUCCGCCAACUUCUUCUACUUUACUCUCUCCCUAAUUCUAGUAUACAAUAUAGUACAAUAGAACCUCUUAUAACUCAGCUCAAGCUUGGAGUGUGUCUGAGAAGUGAAGUGAUUAACUCCUUUUAUAGGCAAGUAUGGCGGUUACUGCUAUGCGAAUUAUUGAAAAUGUCCCGCAACCACCAUCCGGAGAGCAUCUGGAGCGUCCAUGAAAACCCUAGACUGAACGGUCGAGAUUGGAGUCCGGCCGAACCCUGGCUGGGCCCAACAGGACCAGAACUUGGCCUGUUCUCUCUCUCAGCUUGCCUUAUCCAUUUCUCAGGUAGUUGGGCCUAUUUUCUGAUGUUUCGAUGAAGUUUAAGGCCCACUCUUGUAUGGAUAGAAUUCUUGUCAUGACCGGAAUUAACCCAACGGGCGUUCCUUACGUGCGUGUAUUAUUCCUUGUCCCAGGAGGCAAGGUACACCAAAAGUUGAUACAUUUCAGAGUUUAUCAAGUGGAAGCGUAAAUAGUUAAUUUAUUACAUGGGCGGCGAAGGCCCAGCACACACAAAGACAAACGGGAAACAGCGGAAUACUAGGGCGACGACCACAGGCGCUUGACGGUAGGCACGAGCUAGACACCAAAGCCUUCAUCUUCUAGGGGCUCCUCUUCUGGGUUUGGGAAAAAUUGAGCAAGACUGAGUACAACCACCGUACUCAACAAGACACACCCACAAGUGCAGGAUAAAUGCAAGGGAGUACAAGGGGAUUAUAAUAUAAAGGGUUAGGGUUUGUAGUAAACAGCAUUAAAAGACACUUAGUUGCUCAAAGCUAUUUUGUAAACACGAUUCCAGAGCUAUACAAUAUUAUUAGUCAAGGCCGUGAACCCACACGAACCUGCCUUAACCCAAGGCCUACGAUGAUUCAGACCGAACUAGCAACCCGACCCUGGGUCCCAGCUCGUCCCAAGCAAACCCAGGCCAACCAUUCCACAUUUUAGUUGUUAAGCAUGUUUUAAGAAUUAAAACACUAACUUGGGUACAUUGCUCGGCUUGCCCAUAACCGAGGGCGCGGCUAUUCAAAUAGAUUAUACUCUGAUCAGAGGUGUACAUCUUUACCCACAAGACACAUCUUCCUCACGUGUAACCACGUGCCACAUACCACCACAGUAUACGGACGGAAGACGUGACAUAGUUUCCAACCCAUCCUAGCCAUAGACAAGAGUACCGACCCAACCCCACCUACGGCAGGACUGAGCCCCUAGCAGCAGGACACCGGCCCUGUGCCAUGACAUCUCGACUACCGGGCCGCAGCUCGUGUAGCCUUCAUUUGUCCUAGAGAUGUCCAUCGACCCCCGACUUCGUCCAUCUCCAUCCGUGUACUUUUGUUUAUAACCAGACUGAGCCACAAACUAAGCCUUACCCACUAGACAUGUGGAAGUACGGUAGUGCUUUGCAACAGAGGCCCGAAGACCGGUCCUUAUAUGGCCGAGGUGCUACUAUCAAAACCAUGCACCCCGAGCCCAGCCUAAAACCAUUUUGAGGAUUUUGAAUAGAGGGGGAGGUGUGAAUCCAAUUUCCACAAUAAUCAAACCAUUCCAUAGUGUCUAGGUGAUACGAAUAUCCCAAAGUCUAGAGUUGUAAAACCACCUAAUAUUGCCUAAUUAACCAGCGAAGCAUCUACCUAAAAUCAUAGUAGUGGUACCAUGAGUAGAGUGUCCACUAAUUGGGGUUUUGUUUAUUCUAGGGUGAACAAGGAAAUAAUAACAAUAACAAUAAUAAGGUCAUAACAAAGGUAAAUAGGCAUGGCUAGAUAAAAUAGUGAUAACGCGGGAAUUUAAAUAAAGCGAUAAUGCAAUAAUUUAAAUCAACAUAAUUUUAUAAACUGGGAUUCAAUAUGUUCAAGGAUGAUGUGACUUCAACUUCCACGAAGAGCGGAUCUUCCGAAGCUGCAGCGUCUACACGACCAACGGAAAAGAAAAGGCUUUUACUCUAAUAAACUCCAUAUAACAAGCAGGAACAAAGCACAAAAAAAGGUUCUUGACUUCUUAAGGAAAAAUUAGAGACUUGAACGGUCUAAUUCCGAGUUCGAAUGGCCAAGUUAUGGCCAUUUGAAGUUUAUAUGCUCUUUAAAUGAAUAUUUGCGAAUUUCUUCAUUUAAAUUUUAAUUUUAAAAGGGUUUAUUACGUCACCAGGGGAGGGGGCGCGCGGACCGGGUCCACGGGAGUGGGGCCCACGCGGCAGCCUCACGGUCCACGGUGGACCGGGUGCACUCGGGCUCACACCGGCCGGCGCCGUGGGUCCCACGCAUGAGCCGCACCCGAGGGCGCGGGCGGCUGACGGCCGGGCCCCACGCGGCAGCCGCUCGGUGCGCCCGAAGGCGGCCACGUCGGCGCGGCCGGCGGGAGGCGGCGCGCCCGCGCCCCUAUGGUCGCCGGCGGUGGCCAUGGGCACAUCGGAGCGGCGGCCGAGAGAGGGGAGGGAAAGGGGGAAACGAGGCGGCGGUCCACGGCUCACCCUAGGUCGACGGCGACGACGAAAAGGCAGCCGGAGCGGAGGAAGGCGGCGGCGCGGCUCGGGUCGAUGGGGACGGCGGCGCUCCGGUGGUCGACGAGCAAAACGGAGGGGUGGACGAGGUCAGCGAGGAUGCGGCGAAGCCGAAGGAGGCGGCGCCGAGGUGGGAGGUGGUCUGGGGCGACGACGGCGGUGGACCGGAGCUCGGCGGCGACGGCGGAGAGAGAGCGACGGCGCGAGCUCGAUUCCGGCGAGGAGGAAGGGCGGCGAGAGGCGGAAAUGGACGGAGGAGGUGCGGGGAGGGUUUAAAUAGGGUUGGAAGGAGGAGAGAGCAGCCCGCGGGGAAGGAAUAGGCGCGGGAGGUCCGACCGCCAUCAAUGGCGCCGGCUAGAUUUGUGGGGGCAAAUCCGCCCGUUUGAACGCGAGAGAGAGAGGGAAAAAUGGGGGGAAAGGGAGAGGGGAUCACGGGGAGUAAUUCCCCCCACUUUAUUGCACGCGGGGACGGCGGGAGGUGGCGGGAUUCGCGGCGGCGGCGGCGGCGCUAGGGCGCAGGAUAGGCGGCGGAAGUGGCGGGAGGAAGGGGAUGACGGGUGGGCCCCACCCGUCAGCGAGGGUGGCGGGCGGGCCCGCCCGUCAGCGGCGCGCGCGCGGGGAGAGGCCGGAUGGGCCGCGGGGAGAGGAGAGGGAGAUGGGCCGAGCCGGCCCAAGAGGGAGAGGGAGGGAAAGGGGACUUUUUAGAGUUUUUCUUUUUAUAAAAUCAUUUUAACUUUGUUUAUUUCUUAAUAAUUAUUAUUUGUGCUCUGAAAAUUCCACUAAAAUUUAUUUACGCAUUUUAGGCUUUUAGGAAAUAUACAAAAAUCCUCCAAGCCUUAUUUGACUUUUAACUUUGCACAAGCCUUAUUUGACUUUUAACUUUGCACAUUUUAAUUGUUGGAGGCUUUCACACGGAUUUUAAUUAUUCUAGGCAUAAUUUAGAGGAUGUAUUUCUCGCGGUUUCACGGGCACGUGUGUCGCAGUUGCGCAGGCAUGGUGCGCAUGGCUGGUGUAGACCGGGAGUGGUUACACAGCAUGGCACAUGCGCUAGCACUGGACACAUGGACGUGGCCAAGAGAGGACGUUCCUGGCCUAGGGUUGAUCGACGGGGGCGUCGAUCUCUCUUAAGGGGGUGAGGGUGUAACAUCCUGGCCUAGGGCUUAAUAGGAUUAAUAGAAUACUCAUAUCAACAAGCUGCAAUUUCUUUUCCGGAAGCCAAUCUCCAAAGAACUCUAGGGUUAAGCGUGCUUGGCCUGGAGCAAUUUGGGAUGGGUGAUCGAGCAGUUAGUAGGCUUGCGCGUGUGUUCUUCUCGUUUGUUUUUCUGCUAGAGUCGUAUGGGGCAUGGUUAUGCCGGUGUGUGGUAUAACUGUGUCGGAGCCUGUCUUUAUUUUAUUUGCUUAAGCAACUUGAACCUUAAUGAACCAAUUUAAUAGCAGUAAUAAAUUCAAGAAUUAUGGUAGUCGUGGGUGGUUAGCUUUAAUUGUCAGCUCUCUCUGUUUGCUGGUUCUGUGUGGGAUUUUCAGAUGGUGACGACCAGGAGAAGUGCUAAUACCGGUGAUGGCAACCAACCCGAAGGUAGCAACCACAACAACCAUGGCAGCCCACCUCCACCUCCUCCUCCGCCUCCACCACCACCACGAGACACCAACGCCAUCCCCACCCAAAUCCUCGCCCAGCAGGCCAACAUGAUGGCUGCUUUCCUCCACAUCCAAAAUCCGCCACAAUAUAAUGCUCCACCACCGCCCCCACAACUCUCUAAACUCGCCGAGUUCCUCCGCAUCCGUCCGCCUACCUUCUCUAGCUCCAAUAACCCCGUGGAUGCUUUGGAUUGGUUGCAUGCUGUGGGGAAAAAGUUAGACACCGUGCAGUGCAACGAUGAGGAGAAAGUCAUCUUUGCCGCUCACCAACUGCAGGGGCCCGUAUCUCUAUGGUGGGACCAUUUCCAGGCUACGCAGCCAGAAGGGCAGCCUAUUACUUGGGCCCGCUUCACCGCCGCUUUCCGGAGAACCCAUGUGCCCGCCGGAGUCAUGGCCCUUAAGAAAAGGGAAUUCCGAGAGUUGAAACAAGGCAACCGCUCUGUGAUGGAGUAUUUGCAUGAGUUUAACAACCUGGCCCGAUACGCCCCGGAGGAUGUUCGUGAAGAUGAGGAGAAGCAAGAGAAGUUCUUGGCAGGAAUGGACCCUGAGCUGUCCGUGCGUCUGGUCUCCGGGGACUAUCCGGAUUUCCAGCGUUUGGUUGACAAGAGCAUCCGCUUGGAAGCCAAGCACAAGGAACUGGAGUCGCACAAGCGUCGCUUGGCGAAUUUCCGCAAUCAACAGGGGCCUAACCAAAGGGUCCGCUACACCAAUCCCUAUCCAGGGGGAUCGUCCUCGCAGCAGCAACAGCAGCAGCAACCUCGCUCCGCGCCCCGACCUCAAUUCGUGGUGCGCGUCCCACAGCCGCAGCAACAGCAGAGUCAGCAAGGGACUCGUGCGCCCCAUCCUCCUACGCCAGCCGUGCAGCCUGGUCAAGGCCGCAAGGACGUUCAAGGUCAGCAGCGUCUGUGCUUCAACUUCUUCGAGCAUGGGCACUUUGCGGAUAAAUGCCCAAAGCCGAGGCGCCAGCAAGGCCAAGCGCCUCCCCGCCCCAACAACGGUGGUAAGGAUGUCAUUCGGGGUCGGGUGAACCACGUGACGGCCGAGGAUGUGCUGACAACUCCAGACGUCAUCGUUGGCACGUUCCUCAUUCAUUCCAUCCCUGCUACCAUUUUGUUCGACUCUGGAGCUUCCCACUCGUUUAUAUCUGUGCCAUUCGUGGGGAGAAAUCAGUUGGGGGUAGAAAGGCUUAGGAACCCUCUGCUCAUCACCACCCCUGGAGGGGUUAUGACAGCAAAGUAUUAUAGCCCUGCCGUUCCUAUAGAAAUUCAGGGAAUUCCUUUUCCCUCGGAUCUGAUUCUUCUAGACACCAAGAACUUGGAUGUGAUCCUUGGGAUGAAUUGGUUGGCUCAAUUCCAAGGAGUAGUGGAUUGUGCAAGACGCACUGUCACUCGGUACCGAGGGCCGGAACAACCGGUUGUUUUCUUUGCUCCCCCAACCUCUGUCGGUAGUUCAGAACUUCAUCAGAUAGGACUGUCAGAAAUCCCCAUCGUCAGAGAGUUCGGAGACGUGUUUCCGGAAGAACUACCCGGUAUGACGCCGAAGCGAGAGAUUGAGUUCCGGAUAGAUCUUGCUCCAGGAACCACUCCCCUGUACAAGCGACCCUACCGUAUGGCAUCAAAUGAACUGGCCGAAGUCAAGAAACAGUUGGAAGAGUUGAAAGAAAAGGGGUAUAUACGGCCGAGUACUUCCCCCUAGGGUGCUCCUGUGAUUUUUGUGGAGAAGAAAGACAAGACAAAGAGGAUGUGCAUUGACUACAGAGCUCUCAAUGAAGUUACCAUCAAAAACAAGUACCCUCUUCCCUGGAUCGAUGAUCUGUUCGAUCAGCUUAAAGGUGCCACUGUAUUCUCCAAUAUUGAUCUUCGUUCCGGAUAUCACCAAUUACGUAUUCGUGAAGAAGAUAUCCCUAAGACCGCAUUCACCACGCGAUACGGACUGUAUGAAUUCACGGUGAUGUCGUUCGGUUUAACCAAUGCUCCUGCCUUCUUCAUGAACUUAAUGAACAAAGUGUUCAUGGAAUACUUGGAUAAGUUUGUUGUGGUUUUCAUUGACGACAUUCUGGUGUACUCACAAUCAGAGGAAGACCAUCAGCACCAUCUCCGUCUGGUGUUGGGAAAGUUGCGGGAACAUCAAUUGUAUGCCAAGCUUAGCAAGUGUGAGUUCUGGUUUUCCGAAGUCAAAUUCUUAGGGCACGUGAUAUCUGCUAAAGGAGUCGCUGUGGACCCCGAAACAGUGACCGCCGUCACUGAUUGGAAGCAACCCAAGACAGUCACUCAAAUUCGCAGCUUUUUGGGUUUGGCCGGGUACUACCGAAGAUUCAUCGAGAAUUUCUCCAAAAUUGCCAGACCCAUGACGCAGUUGCUGAAGAAGGAAGAAAAAUUUGUGUGGAGCCCGCAAUGUGAGAAAGCGUUCCAAACUCUCAAAGAAAAGCUGGUUUCCUCGCCAGUGUUAAUCUUACCGAAUACUCGCAAGGACUUCCUGGUGUACUGUGACGCUUCGCGCCAAGGAUUGGGGUGUGUGCUCAUGCAGGAAGGUCAUGUGGUAGCCUAUGCCUCCCGGCAGCUUCGGCCUCAUGAAGGCAACUACCCUACCCAUGAUUUGGAGUUAGCCGCUGUGGUUCAUGCUCUAAAAAUCUGGCGGCAUUAUCUCAUUGGGAAUCGCUGCGAAAUAUAUACUGAUCAUAAGAGUUUUAAAUACAUCUUCACUCAGUCGGAUCUGAAUCUUCGGCAGAGGAGAUGGUUAGAACUCAUCAAGGAUUAUGAUGUGGGAAUUCACUAUCAUCCUGGUAAGGCCAACGUGGUCGCCGACGCUCUAAGUCGAAAGAGCCAUUGCAACACUCUUGACGUCCGUGGCAUUCCACCCGAACUUAAUCAACAGAUGGAAGCCCUGAACCUAAGCAUAGUUAGUCGUGGAUUCUUGGCUACGCUGGAAGCCAAGCCUACCUUGCUCGAUCAAAUCUGCGAGGCUCAGAAGAAUGAUCCGGAUAUGCGUGGACUCCUCAAGAAUAUGAAACAGGGUAAAGCCGCUGGUUUCACAGAGGAUGAACACGGAACCCUAUGGAACGGAAAUCGGGUAUGCCUUCUAGACGACAGAGAACUUAAACAGUUGAUACUUCAGGAAGCUCACGAAAGCCCUUAUUCCAUCCACCCUGGCAGUACGAAGAUGUACUUAGACUUGAAAGAGAAAUACUGGUGGGUUAGUAUGAAGCGGGAAAUUGCAGAGUUCGUGGCCCUUUGUGAUGUGUGCCAGCGUGUCAAGGCAGAGCACCAACGACCGGCCGGUCUUCUCCAACCUCUCCAAGUACCAGAAUGGAAAUGGGAUGAAAUUGGGAUGGAUUUCAUCACCGGACUUCCAAAAACCCAAGGCGGAUAUGAUUCUAUAUGGGUAAUUGUGGACCGACUAACCAAGGUAGCUCGGUUUAUUCCUGUGAAGACCACCUAUGGAGGGAACAAACUAGCCGAGCUCUACUUCGCUAGGAUCGUGAGUCUCCAUGGCGUUCCUAAGAAAAUUGUAUCUGAUAGGGGAAGCCAAUUCACUUCUCACUUUUGGAAGAAGCUCCAAGAAGAGCUGGGUACCCGAUUAAAUUUCAGCACCGCGUAUCACCCGCAGACAGAUGGACAGACCGAGCGUCUAAAUCAGAUCCUAGAAGAUGUGCUUCGCGCAUGUGUCCUAGAUUUCGGGAAGACCUGGGAUAAGAGUCUCCCCUAUGCCGAGUUCUCCUACAAUAACAGCUACCAAGCCAGCAUACAAAUGGCACCCUAUGAAGCGUUGUAUGGACGCAAAUGCCGGACACCGCUAUUGUGGGACCAAGUUGGGGAAAGCCAAGUGUUCGGGACUGAUAUCCUGACAGAAGCUGAAGCUAAAGUCAGAACCAUUCAGGAUAAUCUAAAGGUGGCACAGUCCCGGCAGAAGAGUUAUGCAGAUAACCGACGCCGUAAUCUGGAAUUCGCAGUGGACGAUUUUGUGUACCUUCGGGUCACGCCAUUGCGAGGUGUACACAGGUUUCAGACGAAAGGGAAGCUCGCACCUUGGUUUGUGGGUCCUUUCCGUAUCAUUGCUCGACGCGGGGAAGUCGCUUACCAGUUGGAGCUGCCCGCCUCCUUGGGCAACGUGCAUGAUGUGUUCCAUGUGUCGCAACUCAAGAAAUGUCUUCGAGUGCCAUCCGAGCAGGCCGAUUCAGAGCAAAUUGAAGUUCGCGAAGACUUGACCUACGUGGAGAGGCCAGUGAAAAUCCUGGACACCAUGGAGCGCAGGACCAGGAACCAGGUAAUCCGUUUUUGCAAGGUCCAAUGGAGCAACCACGCUGAGGAAGAAGCUACUUGGGAGCGUGAAGACGAGAUGAAAGCAGCCCAUCCCGAUCUCUUCGCCAGUUCUUCCGAAUCUCGGGGUCGAGAUUCCGUUUAAGGGGGGUAGGUUUGUCACGUCCCAAAACGACUCUAAAAUACAUCCUCUAAAUUAUGCCUAGAAUAAUUAAAAUCCAUGUGAAAGCCUCCAACAAUUAAAAUGUGCAAAGUUAAAAGUCAAAUAAGGCUUGGAGGAUUUUUGUAUAUUUCCUAAAAGCCUAAAAUGCGUAAAUAAAUUUUAGUGGAAUUUUCAGAGCACAAAUAAUAAUUAUUAAGAAAUAAACAAAGUUAAAAUGAUUUUAUAAAAAGAAAAACUCUAAAAAGUCCCCUUUCCCUCCCUCUCCCUCUCCUUUCCCCGCGGCCCAUCCGGCCUCUCCCCGCGCGCGCGCCGCUGACGGGCGGGCCCGCCCGCCACCCUCGCUGACGGGUGGGGCCCACCCGUCAUCCCCUUCCUCCCGCCGCUCCCGCCACCUCGCCCGCGCCCUAGCGCCGCCGCCGCCGCGAAUCCCGCCGCCUCCCGCCGUCCCCGCGUGCAAUAAAGAGGGGGGAAAUCACUCCCCGUGAUCCCCUCUCCCUUUCUCCCCAUUUUUCCCUCUCUCUCUCGCGUUCAAACGGGCGGAUUUGCCCCCGCAAAUCUCGCCGGCGCCAUUGAUGGCGGCCGGACCUCCCGCGCCUAUUCCUUCCCCACCGGCCGCUCUCUCCCCCUUCCAACCCUAUUUAAACCCUCCCCGCACCUCCUCCGUCCAUUUCCGCCUCUCGCCGACCUUCCUCCUCGCCGGAAUCGAGCUCGCGCCGUCGCUUUCUCUCCGCCGUCGCCGCCGAGCUCCGGUCCGCCGCCGUCGUCGCCCCAGACCACCUCCCACCUCAGCGCCGCCUCCUUCGGCUUCGCCGCAUCCUCGCCGACCUCGUCCACCCCUCCGUUUCGCUCGUCGACCGCCGGAGCGCCGCCGUCCCCGUCGACCCGAGCCGCGCAGCCGCCUUCCUCCGCUCCGGCUGCCUUUUCGUCCUCGCCGUCGACCUAGGGUGAGCCGUGGACCGCCGCCUCGUUUCCCCCUUUCCCUCCCCUCUCUCGGCCGCCGCUCCGAUGUGCCCAUGGCCGCCGCCGGCGACCAUAGGGGCGCGGGCGCGCCGCCUCCCGCCGGCCGCGCCGACGUGGCCGCCUUCGGGCGCACCGAGCGGCUGCCGCGUGGGGCCCGGCCGUCAGCCGCCCGCGCCCUCGGGUGCGGCUGACACGUGGGACCCACGGCGCCGGCCGGUGUGAGCCUGAGUGCACCCGGUCCACCGUGGACCGUGAGGCUGCCGCGUGGGCCCCACUCCCGUGGACCCGGUCCGCGCGCCCCCUCCCCUCGGCUGACGCAAUAAACCCUUUUAAAAUUAAAAUUUAAAUGAAGAAAUUCGCAAAUAUUCAUUUAAAGAGCAUAUAAACUUCAAAUGGCCAUAACUUGGCCAUUUGAACUCGGAAUUGGACCGUUCAAGUCUCUAAUUUUUCCUUAAGAAGUCAAGAACCCAUUUUUGUGCUUUGUUCCUGCUUGUUAUAUGGAGUUUAUUAGAGUAAAAGCCUUUUCUUUUUCGUUGGUCGUGUAGACGCUGCAGCUUCAGAAGAUCCGCUCUUCGUUGAAGUUGAAGCCGACGUUUGGGAAAGCGAGCAAGGCAAGUCACAUCAUCCUUAAACAUAUUGAAUCCCAGUUUAUAAAAUUAUGUUGAUUUAAAUUAUUGCAUUAUCGCUUUAUUUAAAUUCCCGCGUUAUCACUGUUUUAUCUAGCCAUGCCUAUUUACCUUUGUUAUGACCUUAUUAUUGUUAUUGUUAUUAUUUCCUUGUUCACCCUAGAAUAAACAAAACCCCAACUAGUGGACACUCUACUCAUGGUACCACUAGUAUGAUUUUAGGUAGAUGCUUCGCUGGUUAAUUAGGCAACAUUGGGUGGUUUUACAACUCUAGACUUUGGGAUAUUCAUAUCACCUGGACACUAUGGAAUGGUUUGAUUAUUGUGGAAAUUGGAUUCACACCUCCCCCUCUAUUCAAAAUCCUCAAAAUAGUUUUAGGCUGGGCUCGGGGUGCAUGGUUUUGAUAGUAGCACCUCGGCCAUAUAAGGACCGGUCUUCGGGCCUCUGUUGCAAAGCACUACCGUACUUCCACAUGUCUAGUGGGUAAGGCUUAGUUUGUGGCUCAGUCUGGUUAUAAACAAAAGUACACGGAUGGAGAUGGACGAAGUCGGUGGUCGAUGGACAUCUCUAGGACAAAUGAAGGCUACACGAGCUGCGGCCCGGUAGUCGAGAUGUCAUGGCACAGGGCCGGUGUCCUGCUGCUAGGGGCUCAGUCCUGCCUACCUGUCCCGGGGGUUCCGGCCAUAGGUGGGGUUGGGUCGGUACUCUUGUCUAUGGCUAGGAUGGGUUGGAAACUAUGUCAUGUCUUCCGUCCGUAUACCGUGGUGGUAUGUGGCACGUGGUUACACGUGAGGAAGAUGUGUCUUAUGGGUAAAGAUGUACACCUCUGAUCAGAGUAUAAUCUAUUCGAAUAGCCGCGCCCUCGGUUAUGGGCAAGCCGAGCAAUGUACCCAAGUUAGUGUUUUAAUUCUUAAAACCUGCUUAACAACUAAAAUGUGGAAUGGUUGGCCUGGGUUGGCUUGGGACGAGCUGGGACCCAGGGUCGGGUUGCCAGUUCGGUCUGAAUCAUCGUAGGCCUUGGGUUAAGGUAGGUUCGUGUGGGUUCACGGCCUUGACUAAUAAUAUUGUAUAGCUCUGGAAUCGUGUUUACAAAAUAGCUUUGAGCAACUAAGUGUCUUUUAAUGCUGUUUACUACAAACUCUAACCCUUUAUAUUAUAACCUCCUUGUACUCCCUUGCAUUUAUCCUGCACUUGUGGGUGUGUCUUGUUGAGUACGGUGGUUGUACUCAGUCUUGCUCAAUUUUUCCCAAACUCAGAAGAGGAGCCCCUGGAAGAUGAAGGCUUUGGUGUCUAGCUCGUGCCUGCCGUCAAGCGCCUGUGGUCGUCGCCCUAGUCUUCCGCUGUUUCCCGUUUGUCUUUGUGUGUGCUGGGCCUUCGCCGCCCAUGUAAUAAAUUAACUAUUUACGCUUCCACUUGAUAAACUCUGAAAUGUAUCAACUUUUGGUGUACCUUGCCUCCUGGGACAAGGAAUAAUACACGCACGUAAGGAACGCCCGUUUGGUUAAUUCCGGUCGUGACAAUUCUUCCUUCACUUAAGUCUUGAUUUCAUCCCAACUUUGGAUUUCAUCCAAAUAUGUAUCAACACUCAUGGAAUAUGUUAGAAUUAAACCCUACCACUAUGUUGGAUGUCUUAUUAACUAUGUUUUAUCUAGGUAUUGGCGGCAUAGAAUUGGCAUUUAACAGCAGCCAACAGUAGUGAGUAAGCCAGUGCCUGAAGUAUAGACCAUGUUCCUCAAUAGGAAAUCCUCUCUACCCUUUUCCUAUAUCUGCCUUGUGUCCUUGGAUGAAACUAGAGAAGAGUUAAGCACACACAUUAGCUUUAGAAAUCGAUACCUUGGAAUACUCCCGGGUGAAGUGCUACAUCAGUAUCUCCAUGCGCUUGUAGAUUUUAUCCGUGAGCGUUAAGAAAUACCAACAAACAUGACACGACGAUGCAACACAAAACUCAACAAAGCAAAAACUAAAAAAAACAAUGCAGCGGGCACAAAGAUGGCUAGGUAAUGGAUCCAAUAUUUUUUAUGGCUAUAUUCUGGUUAUAGGUGGAUAAAAAAAACUCACCAAGCAAAUACCACUUGAUAAACCAUGAGUUCCACUCAAGACACUCAUGGCUAUGAUUGGCCUGAUCAUUCAGUGAGUUGGUGAUAACUACGAUUUGGGUAAAUGUUGAUGAUCCGACUAAAACCGUACAAGACGUUGUUUUGUUGCGCCUUAGAGAUCGAUACACCUCUUCGUGGGUUGUUGAUAUUGACGGUUGUCAGGGUUAUGGAUACCACAUACCAAUAGUAAUCGACUAAGCUCGGCAAGGCUCACCACAUACCAUGUCUUAUACGGAAACAAACCUCGUAUAUAGAAGGAGUUCCGAAUAAGGAAGGACAAGAAGAGUUCUACAUGGAAACGACAAGGACUACUCAGAUCAUAUCCAUAUUUAUCUCCGUAUUCUUACUUGGACAAGGGGUUAUCUAUGGGUAUAAAUACAAGCCACCCUAGGAGGAUAGGGGAGAGGCCACAAGGGCACAAAGCCACAAAGCCACAAAGCCACAAGCCAACUGUAACAUACCCAAAUUCUAGGAUUAAGGAAUUUUCUUCAAAACUAGUUGAAAGGAAAGUUCUUCAAUUUUGUGAACCAAAAAUUUCCAUUUUAAAACCUAGGUGAAGUUGAUCUAACUUAUACUGAAGUAAAAUUUGAGAACAAAUUAAAACAUUUUCAUCUUUAACCUAUACCAUAGAUGCAAAAACAAGUGAAAGCAUGCAUACUCGCUUACAUCAUGUUUUGACUUAAGUCCUUCUUAUGCAUUUGGAUGUUUGUUUUGCAUUUCAUAAUAGAUCUCAUGAAUGAUAACUAAGAUCUAGAUAAACAACCAAACCAUUAAGGCCUAGUGCUAGCUAGAGGAAGUUAAAAUAGAAACCAUACACCUUAAAAUAUAUCAACAAGGCCAAUGUCAAGCCCCACAAAACUAAUUUGGUCAUCCAUCUGAAGACAAGUCAUGUACAUGGAAGUGAACAAAUAAAUUAACUCAUAUAGGGUAUAUUCUAUCUUAAUCAUCUCGAUAAGCAUUCUCUUAAUUUAAUACUAAAGUAAACUUAUACAUAAAUUGGUAAGGAGUUUGUGACAUAUGUAAGGUAAACUGCAAUUCUAACAUAUCAACAUCACCUCAGGUUAAGAAGAGUCCAAAUAUAACUUUUAUAAACAUUUAGAUGCAUUUAGGAAAGGGAAACACAUAUAAGAGAUAAGUCUUGCUAAUUAUCUAAAAUAAUUCGUGCAAGAUAAAACCAUGGGAAAAUUCAUGAAGGCUCUAUUUAACAUAUACAACUCAUUGUAAUUUUGGUAAGAUUUAAUAACUAAAUUUGGUACAUCAAAUAAAUAAGUCAACCCAGUUAAAUAAUAGACUAAUUAAAAUUCCUAAUUGGCUAAAACCAUACUUUGUUUAAAAGUGCAUUUAACUUCAUGGGAGUGUAUAGGGGAAACAAUUUAUUCAAAUACUAGGCCAUUUAUUAUGAAUAUAUAUAAUUUUUCCAGAAUUUAUCUUCUCUGUUUAUGUCUCCUGAAAAUUCAAACAGUUUCCAUUGAGCCUAUCUUCUUUUAAUUUCUGUGUGCAAUCUAUCCAUAAUUCGUGAGUGCAAUCAAAGAAAAUGGAAACUAGGUACAUUCAUCUACUUCAGUAAAAUCCACAUGAAUUGAUCUGUACCACAAAUUAAUAUAUGAAUUAACAAAGAUGGGUAAGAGAAAUAAUCCUGAAAAUUUGUCCAAAAUCGCUUGCACCCAAUUAUCUACCCAUCCCUCACACCCCCACCUAGCUUACACCGACCUGGACCCACCUGACAGCCUCCUUGGCUUGCCCUUCCUCUGUGCAACUUCUCUAGCCGACCAGAACUGAGAAAGAGACCGAGCCGACAGCCCUCGGGCACGUUCGAUGCGUGGCCACGACGUGUCGACGCCCUAAAAACGCCGAGCUCCAUCUCUGCCUCUCCCAGACGCGUCGCCACUCUUCACCCACCAUUCCAGGGCAGAUCCAACCGAGGGAGAGCAUCCUUGCUGCCCUUCUCCACCGUUUCUCCAUCGCCGGCCGCGAAGAAGACGAUAGCCACAUUCGUUAAUGAGCCGCGGUCGUUUCCUCUUCUUUUGCGUUCCAAAACCUACUCUCAAUGCCAUCUCUAUUUCAUCUAAUUUCAUCCCAUUCUAUGCAGUGGUUGAGCGGGAAUGCCACCGUGCCCACAAACGCCCUGGAGCGCACAACGAUGACCGCUGUCGGGUUCUUGUCGUCGUUCCGACCAAACUGAACCACCCCAAGCCGAACCCUUGCGCCACCAGAAUCGCCUAGACGUCCUCUUCAAGAUACUCCUAGAACCUCAUGGAUCGGUGAAUCGAGGAGGGAGAUCGGCGUCAUCUUCUCCAACUCCGGCCGCCGGCGUCGAUCUUCGAUUCCUUGAUCCCGGGUGAGCUUCGGCGCAAUUCCUGACUCGUGUAGCAUCUUUAGUUGGUCUUUGAGCCGUUCCACUCUUUUUCUUGGCAACCCGGAGUUCGGAUGGUGGUUGUCACCGUUGCUAUGCUGAUUUCCGCCGCCGCCGGGACAUCCUCUACAUCAUCGUCGCUGUCCAGGCCUACCCGUAGCGCAUCCGAGCUUCGGUGAGCAACCUGCAGCCUAUAGAACAUACAUGCAUGCAUCCCUUUGGGUACAUCCUAUUGGGAUACGCGUAGGCUACGAUAGCAUAAAUCAAAAUUUUCUAUCGCGUAAACCAGGAACCAUGCAGGUAUUAGAUCAUAGAUCGUUACCAUUCGAUGCGCUGCACAGCGGAAAAGACGCUGAGAAGUCGAAGGAAUUCUCGCGAAUUAGCGCGUCGAUGUAGAGAAAGUAGUCGAUCGCACCGGCUCGACCUUCUCCUCCUCGUGCGUUCUCCUCGCCGUACUCCCACGCCGAUCAGCACCGCAAACCAGCGGCGCCUCUACCGGUAUCCACACGUACAGGGACGGAACGCCACGCGCAGAUGUGCUAGCACUAGCGCGCGGCUAGGGUUUUGCUCGGGGAGGGAAGUGACGGCUAGGGUUUCUCACGUGAUGCAAUGCCUCCGCCGGUCACACCCCUCACGAAUAUAUAGGAUCCAUCACUCGGGCCUCCAAGGCCCGUAGGACUCCUAUUCGGAUCCCUAUCCGAAUUAAGCACAUAUUGGAUCUCCAUCCAAUCCCCUUAUUCCGGCCCAUUAAGCGUGCAACUCUGUAGGUUCAUAUAUACUCGGCUUUAACCCGAAAACUCCUUUUCGGUCCACGCGUCAACAGCGGCCCCUAGCAGAACGUAUUGACCCACCGGGUAUAAAUAAAGAUCAUAUCGGCUGAACCUCUAGUGUAUACUUGUAUGAACCCCUUUGCCUCACGAUAUGGAUUAAGCUUAAGGCUAGAUAUGUGCCAUCCUCUAAUAGCUCAAUCAUUCAUUCGAACCUGUUGAUAGAUUAUAUAACUUGUGAUUGACUCCUCAAUCAUCUUUGGCAUGGCCAUGCACUUCCAUAAUCUACAACAUCGAGGGGUCCAGAGAUAUCUCUCCAUAGGAGGAGCAAAUCCCAUCUUGAUUAUUCAUAUCCCACUACAUGUUUCAUAGCAUACCCGGAAACUACUUUUAUAAUUACCCAAUUACGGAGUAGCGUUUAGCAGUCCCUAAGUAAGCUACUAUACAUGUUGGGAACCAUGAUAAUCUCAGGUCUAAAAAUUCAACACCAACACUAAAUGAGAUCACUGAUGACACAACACAUAUGGCUCUUCCAGUGUCUCAUGUUGGGUCUAUCCAACAACAUGUUCAGCAACAUGUGUCCACAUUAUUAAUUUGGUAUCUCUAUACCAUGAUCCAUGAGACAUGAUCAUCAAUUAAUACAUGUGCUGAUCAUAUAAACAUAUUUGUUCCAUAUAUGAUAUUUGAUCAGGGAUCCUUUAAAAAUAGUAACAAACAACAUAAAUAGUGUCAUGAAAGAAUCACAUAUUCAUUAACCAAUAAUGAGUUAUCUAUUUUAAGGAAUAAUAUCGAAUAAAUAUGUAAACAUAGUAUGUGAUACAAUCAUCUCUAUGAUUGCCUCUAGGGCAUAUCACUAACACAUCCAGUCGAUAGCACGACAUGCACCACCACCCGAAAACAUCCUCUGCUCGGACUCACCGCUGGCGCUGCUUCAAUGUCCGCUAUCUGAGAAAUGUAUAGGAAUGAAAUCGCAAUAACAUGAUCUUCAUUUUGUGUAUUGGUCGCACCCCCAAACGAGCCAUCGUUUGUCGCCGGCGAGCUCGAGAUCGAGCUCGGCCAUGGCGCUCUGUUCUGUCCAGGUCGCAGGACUUCGUGUUGAGAAUUUAAACAAACAUAAGGUUCAAUAUGAAAACAUACUAAACACUGACAUAUGGGCCUAAGACUGCGGGUUGGUUUCUAGAAAUCUCAAGGGCUUUUUUGCAUAUUGGCCGUAUGACUGUUAGCGGACCCCUAGAAACAAAAUCUGAGAUUAUAUAAGAAAAGUACCUAAAACUUGUAAAAAUCCAUAUAAAAUCAAAUAUAACUCAUUUUGAGAUGAUUCAAGUUUCUGUGAACUCAUAUAAGGAUGAACUUUAAUGUUAUGAAAUGAAAACUUACACUUGCAGUACAAAUUUCACCUCUAAAAUUUAUUUAAGAAAAAAUAUACAUAAAGCAUGCACAAACUUAUAAAAUGCAUACAAAAUUCAUCUCAACUCAUUUUAGGGUAAAUUCACAUUUCACGGAAUCAUCAAUUUGUUGUCCACUGUAAAGUGAAAUAAAAUAAUAUACUUACUUUGUACCUAAUGCCUCUAAAACUAUUAUCUUUAAAAUGAAUAGUUUUAGAUAUAUAAGCUGAACUUUAGAAGUUUAUAUAAAAUUCAUGUUAGAUCGUUUUUGAGUAAACCCAACUUAUGUAGAGUCACCAAAACAUAUACUUCUAAUUUGUAAAAUAAAAUCAUAUACUUACUUUGUAAUAAAAGCCUCUAAAUAUUUAUGUAAUUAAUAACCAACGUAGAGCAACCUUUAAUUUGUAAAAUUUGUAGAAAAUUCAUCUUUAUUUUAAAUGAAGUGAACCAAAUUUCUAUAGGACCAGAAAGUAAUGUACUUCAACCUAGUAGAGUGGAAUAUGGCACCCUCUGUUCAUACCAUAGCUCUAAACCUUAAUUUGGUAGUAUAGGUACUUAACACAUAAUAGUGGUUAAACAAUACAUAUCAAUAAGUAUAUAUAUGCAUGGUAGCUCCAAAUAAUUCCAAAUAAAACUUGUUAGGACCAGUGGAUCCAUAGUUCCAUCCCCAUCCACCAUAACUUAGAAGAACUUAGCUCAUAUAAUAAUUUCUAUAAUAAUUUCUAGAUUGAUAUAAUAUAUUGCUAGCAUAGACUAGAGCUCCCCUAGUUUAUAAGAAUAUGAACCAUGAUAAUAAAGACCAUAAGCUUAUGAACUAAGGUUAGAUUAGUUAACUAAAAUACUCAUUUUGUACAUCACUAGCUAGAUGAGGCAAGUUAUGGACCUAAACCUCUAAAGCCAUGAACCUAUAUAACACUAUACACCUAUAUACACCUAUAACACGUUAUAACCUGUAAAAUACAUAAAGAAUUCACAUUAACUCUAAAAAUUGUGAAAUCAAAUGUGUUAGUCUUAGAAAACAUAUAUCUUCACCCUAGCAAACAUAAACUUAAUAAGAAUCACCUUACAAGAGCAUUUCACAAUAGUACCUAAGUAAAUCCUAUACUAUACCGACGAAAACUUCUAAAAUUCAUAACUCUCAAAUGAAAUGAGAUAAAAUAGAAAUUCUUUCACCUAAAUUCAUUUUAGACCAGUACCUAUUUACUGUGCACAAAUCAUGCAUUUUAGAGCAUUUUGAAUUUUUCACAUAUUUCGGUGUUUAAUUACAUAACGUGUACUUUGUAUAGAUGAUUGCUCAAACGGUGAAGAAGUGAAUUAGGUGCUGACAUUUUCCAGUUACAAGGCAAGUCCCACCUCCCUCUCUUUGAUCACAUUGAACCUAUGUUUUGGAGGUUAUUGAAAAUGUUUGAAAAUCUUGCAUGUCGAUUGUACACUAAUAAACUAAAAUCUUGUUAAACUUGUUAGACAAACCCCUACUAGUUGCAUUAUCACCUUAACUCCACAUAUAACCAUAUCCCUCAUUCGUAACCUUUGGAACAAUAUGACUAUACCACUUUAUAUAUGAGUUUUGGAGUCACUAGAUUACUAUAAUGCUUAGCCAUGCUUAGAAUGGUCUUCCUUGUCAUUAUGGGCUCAUUACAAACAUGAAAAUUGAUUUUUAAAUAAUCUGGACAGAACUUUAAUACUUGUGAUUUUGAUAAAUAAAAUGAUGGAAAACAUGGAUUUUAGGUUUGGGCCUCAAGUGGUGCACAUAUGGUGAUUAGUUGAGUACCGAUAGGGGGAGAGUGUGCCCAAACCGACCUAAGGGCUUCACUCAAUGUCAGUUCAUUUCGUAUACAGUACAACCACAUGUGCUAGUAUGGGAUAGCCCAAGCUUAGUAAAUUAUUUAUGGUUCAGCCUUACAUUCUAGUAGGCCGGUGUGUAUGAGUUCGGAUAACUCAGAGAAACUUCCUAUUUACCCCGACGUGGUAGUUUAGGUGACUAAGUCUAUCCAAUACAACCAUAUUGUGCCACGUGGGUGGGUUCCCGUUAUGUCCGCCACCACGGUGUUAAGUUUAAGAUGUGGGCCCACCACUUAACGGUUCUAGGUCAUAUAACGUGUAUGGCUUAGGAUGGAGUAACACGUAUCGUGUUGGUGUAAGGCUAAAUCAUGAAUUUUGGAAAAGCUUUGUUGUGAGUAAUAAAUCGGAUACUUAUGAAUCGCGUGCCAUGCUCUUGCAUGAUUAUUAUUUCGCAUCAUGUGGGUAAAGUGUACAAACUCUGCAGAGUAAAAACUAAUCGAUUAGCCGUGCUCGCGGUCAUGAACAGCGUGUGGAUAUGUAUUGAGUAUAGACUUGUGUUUAUUCUUCUAAAUGUUGAAUUUACCUUCAAAUUAUGUUGAGAUUUCAGAAUGAUCUCCUUGCUGCCAUGGAUGGCAAUGAGGUGCAUAUUUAUACAUGAUUAAUGCCUACUUUGAUGCCCAUAUGUUAAGUACUAGCUUGCUGAAAUUUAUUUGAAAGAAAAUCUGAUUUGAAUGUGUUUUAUGCAAAUAAAACUUGCUUUAUGCUAAAAAGAACCAUCCUUGAUUAUAUGCCUUGCAAGUAGGGUGUUAGGUUUGUCUUGGUACUUGCCAGUGCAUUAUUUCUAAUAAUGUACUGACUCUUGCCAUUGAAUUAACCUUUUGCUUGCAGGUUUUAGAUUUAAUAUUUGAGUGAUGCGGGUAAUCGACUGCUUCUUCUAGGAUUUGAACUUAAUGGGGUAAACCCCUAGUCGGUGUGUUUAUGGAUUGGGUAGAUAAGCUUCCGCUGUUCUAUAUAUUUAUUUGGUCGGUCGGCCUAUGUAUCUCUAAGUUAGAUGUAAUUUUAAUCGCUUUCAUCUUAUUUGUGUUUGCUAUGUAUGUCCAUGCUUAAGAUGAAAGUGUGAAUCUAGUGCACAUCCUCAGAACUAGAUUCACAUGAGUAUGAGUUCAGAAUAUUUGAGAUGUUGUAGAUAUUUAGCCAUUUUUAUCAAGUCUCCUGAAUGUGUAACACAUCUUGUCACCGCCUUCGAGUGGUUUGACGGGCACAUCUCAGACUGAAGUUGACUCAGACUGAAGUUCACUGGCAGGCUAAAGGCCCAGCAAUGUCUCCAAUAUUCCUCUCUCGAGGCGUCGGCUACUUCAUUAUGCUUGUUUAAUGACUUGAAUUAUUCACUUCAUCUCUUAAUUAUAAUGGAAGGUCUGGAGAGCCUACGACACCAACACAAGUCGUCGGAUAUUGACAUCAAAGAUUAGCCUAGCCAUACCCCAUUUGGUGCCUACGGAAGCCGACAAGAGGGAUCUAGCGCCAUCUCUGAUCUCGUCGAGUAUAGAUUCAAUAAGGAAGACUACCCUAUCGUCGACUACGAGUUGGUGAUCUAUCCGUCAAGUCGACGACAGCUAGAUAUAUUAUCCUAAAUAUUGUAUCUGUGUGAUCCAGAUGAAUAAAGAGCAACACCGGCUUCGGCCAACAGGAUGUAGGGCUAUUACCUGUAAGAUAAGGGCCCGAACCUGUAUAAAAAUCCCUGUCUCCAUCUCUUUUACCUCAAUCUCGCAUAUACCCUGGUACCAACGAUCCCUAUACCAUCUAAAUACCGUAAUCGCGAUAUCAAAUGUCGACAGUGGCGCGCCAGGUAGGUGGAGUGAUCCCUAUACCAUCUAAAUACCGUAGUCGCGAUAUCAAACAUCGAUAGUGGCGCGCCAGGUAGGGGGAGUUUGGUGCUUCAAGGUUUCGAUGAAAUUGGUUCAAGAGAUGGAUUCUCUAACACCAAACUACUCGACAACUUCGGUUAUGGGGGACUGGGGAGAUCUAAUCCGACCGAAGUAUGUCUUCCGACGAGAUCGGAACCAUCGUCGCCGCAGCUGAAGACAUCUGUUCAGUAUUAUCGACCAUCGGUGAUCUCGAGGAUGUUGCUGACACCAUGGGAGACCGGAAUUGACUACUACACUGAUCGAUUUCCUGGCUAACGCGUGCUUUGGUCGGACACAAUAACAGGCCGGACGGAUAGGUGAAUGACAGGUGCCUGUCACUCCACGUGAUAGGAAACCAUGUGUUAAUCUACUCAGGCCGGAUAUAUUGCUGCCCAAAAUCACCACGGCGUAAUCUACUGAACAACAAGACAACGAGUCAACGUGCUUACUCCUGACAUGUACACGUGCAUAUGCAUGGACUCAGUACGUGCCCAGGCGUGCACGUGUACCUGCAGAGAAGACCAAUAUGGCUGCCUAAAGUGCAAUGCGUUGACUAUUCAGAUAAAUCACAUCUAUCCACGAUCAGAUCAUAUAAUAUUGAGACCAAUAAUUUAUUAUAUUUACCUAGAGCAUGUUUUUUAUACAUAUCUAUUGUGCGAAUGUUUCCGAUGAUUGGCCAACUACGGUUUAAUGCUGGGGCUCGCUCUAUUUUCUUUAGUAUAAAUCAUACUUGUUUACGGUUUACGUAAUACCUAAUAUUUAAUCUGCUCGUUAUAUCCUAAUAAUACUAGAAGAGUCAUGCAGUUUUUUUGAGUACAUACUCGAUAUUCUCUGUUAUAUAUCUUGUCUUCUAGAAAAUAUUUUUCAGAAACAAUUGAGCACUCGAGUAGGUUGUGGUCGAGUACACCCCAUUGUCGAGAACUUUCUCGAUAAAGGCUAAGUCGUCGUACCCAACCUACCAACGAAGACUGACGACUUAUCUCAUGUAUAGCGCCGGCCACGCCCGGACUAUUGGAGAAUAUGUCGUUAACGGAUAAUCCCUCACAAAUAACGUCGGUUUGAUCACCCGACAUGAUUGCAAAUAGACAUCCGGAUAUGCUAUAUGUUGGGUAUGUGAGUCAUGCUGGCCACAUGAGAUGCAUGUAAUCACCAACUCUAGCGCCCCUCCAGGUGAUCGAGAUAUGCCUACACUUAGUUCUCGACUAGUCGAUCGUAGCGAUCUCUUACCACCUAAAAAUUCAUAGGUGAUCGAGAUACGCUUACACCUGGUUCUUGACCAGUAGAUCGUAGCGACCUCUCACCACCUAAAAAUUCAUAGGUGAUCGACAUAUGCCUACACCUGGUUCUCGACCGGUAGAUCGUAGCGAUCUCUCACCACCUAAAACUCCAAGUGAUCGAGAUACGCCUACACCUGGUUCUCGACCGGUAGAUCGUAGCGAUCUCUCACCACCUAAAACUCCUGGUGAUCGAGAUAUGCCUACACCUGGUUCUCGACCAGUAGAUCGUAGUGAUCUCUCACCACCUAAAAAUUCAUCUCCAGGUGAUCGAGAUACGCCUACACCUGGUUAUCGACCGGUAGAUCGUAGCGAUCUCUCACCACCUAAAACUCCAGGUGAUCGAGAUAUGCCUACACUUGGUUCUCGACCGGUAGAUUGUAGCGAUCUCUCACCACCUGAAAAUUUGUCUCCAGGUGAUCGAGAUACGCCUACACCUGGUCCUCGACCAGUAGAUUGUAGCGAUCUCUCACCACCUAAAAAUUCGUCUUCGGGUGAACGAGAUAUGCCUACACCUGGUUCUCGACCAGUAGAUCGUAGCAAUCUCUCACCACCUAAAACUUCGUCUUCGGGUGACCGAGAUACGCUUACACCUGGUUCUCGACCAGUAGAUCGUAGCGAUCUCUCACCACCUAAAAUCUCGUCUUAAGGUGAUCGAGAUAUGCAUACACCUGGUUCUCGACCAGUAGAUCGUAGCGAUUUCUCACCACCUGAAAAUUCGUCUUUAGGUGAUCGAGAUACGCCUUCGCCUGGUCCUUGGCCAGUAGAUCGUAGCGAUCUCUCACCACCUAAAAAUUCAUAUUCAGGUGAUCAAGAUACGCCUACUCCUGGUCCUCGACUAAUCGGUUAGCAAGCUCUCGACAUCUAACGGGACAAUCAGCAUUGUCGUGAUAACGACAACCAAGACUGACUAGAUCGCCGUUGUCACUAGGACGACAAUGUCGAGGACUAAUGACAUCAGGACGACAACGGACACGGUUAACUACAUCACACGACGACGACGAAACUCGAGAUCCCCAGACUUCUAGAGGGUCCGAGGAUGAGGUAGUAGGUACAGGAGCCGAACCUCCGACUACGAUAAUUCCUCAUUGUCUUCGUCUUCAUCAGGAGGUUGUUCUCGCAAGUCACGGGAAUGUCGUCCAUACAUUACUCUGAUUCCCUUCAAAUGGUCGAGGUACGACUACGACUAGUCUUUAAUCGGCAACGUAGCGGUCCUCGAACCACGACUUCUGAUGGUCGAGGUACGACUACGACUAGUCUUUGACCGGCAAUGUAGAGGUCCUCGCACCACGACUUCUGGUGGUCAAGGUACGAUUACGACUAGUCUUUGACCAGCAACGUUGCGGUCCUCCCACCAUGACUUCUUAUGGUCGAGGUACGACUACGACUAGUCUUCGAUCGGCAACGUAGCGGUCCUCGCACCACGACUUCUGAUGGUCGAUGUACGACUACGACUGGUCUUCGAUCGGCAGCGUAGCGGUCCUCGUACCACGACUUCCAAAGGUCGAGUUACGACUAUAACUGGUCCUCGACCAGUAGCGUAGUAGUCCUCGCACCUCAAUUUCAAACGGUUGAGAGACUCCUACUCCUGGUUCUUGAACCAGUAGGUCGUAGUGGUCGAGAUAUGACUACAACUGGUUUUCUGCCAACGAUGUAGCGAUUCUCCCACUACCUAUGCGAUUUAUUGGGUACAACUAUACGCCUGGGCUUUGCCUAGUGUGGUGGUUAUCUCAUCAUCUACGUCAUCUUCUGUAAGUGUUUAUAUGUGCAAUAUUUGUCCAGAGAUCCCUAACCACGAUAACACCUACUCUUGACAUCGAAAUUAUUGUCCCUUUACGCCAGUCUGACAAGCCUCCGAGAAACCUAAGGGAAUUUCGGCUGGGGACACCCAGAGCAGAUAAGCUCUUGUCAGAUCCUAAAGAGCCAAACGACCAUGUAAAACCUGGUCAUGUAAGAGUGCUCCAUAAUGCGUAUUAACCAAGCCGUGUAAUUGGAAAUUGGUUUUUCCAACUUCACGGCUGGGGGCUAGGUAAUUGCAUUUUCAGCUAGGCAAGUUACGUGUCAUUGGGCCUUCCCCUCCGAGAACAGACUUCCCCGAGGAUAGGGCUAGGGGCUAGGAGGAGUACCAAACUCCGUUUGCUGAGGGCAACUCUAGCCAGCAUACUCUUUUAUUGUUACACGUAGAUUCAAUUGAUUUUCAAUUUUUCCAUACAUAUUAGAACAUGUUACCCUUGAGCGUUCGCUUGAGGGCUAUCUCUAUUUAAUAUUUUGUUUUGAGAAUUGAUUUCAAGAUAAUUCCAUUCAACGCUGUUGAGGACUCCAUGUCUCUACGGUCUUACAGCGGGAUCGAUUAAGCGAGUACGACGAAUGUUGAUUAGGGAAGUCAGACAUCAGAAUAGUCAAGUCAGAUUUCAAGGCUUUGUCGCAGACUUUGCACCUUCUCGAUUAUCCGAGAACGACUACUGGAGUUCGACAAGGAAUAUGGAAUGAAGCAAAGGUGUACUCGCCGAGAUGGAAUUUCUUGACUUCAAUCCAAAUUCUCGAUUACAGCACGACGGGAGACUUAGUCGCAUGUUCCGUAUCUUCUCGGACGACAUCAGAGAUUAACCUAGACAAAACCAAUAUAGUGCCUACAAAGGCCAAUAAGAGGAAUCUAGCACUAUCUCUGAUCUCACCGAGAACGGUCAAGCGAGCAUGACAACAGUUAUUCCAAAGUCUUCGGUUGAGAACAUGAACUCGUUCAUUUGCAUUGAAGUCGGGGCUACUGUCAGGGUUAUGGAUACCACAUACCCAAUAGUAAUCGACUAAGCUCGGCAAGGCCCACCACAUACCAUGUCUUAUACGGAAACAAACCUCGUAUAUAGAAGGAGUUCGGGAUAAGGAAGGACAAGAAGAGUUCUACAUGAAAACGACAAGGACUACUCAGAUCAUAUCCAUAUUUAUCUCCCUAUACUUACUUGGACAAGGGGUUAUCUAUGGGUAUAAAUACAAACCCCCUAGGAGGAGAGGGGAUAGGCCACAAAGCCACAAAGCCACAAAGCCACAAGCCAACACACGUCGCCGGAUAUCGACAUCAAAGAUUAGCCUAGCCAUACCCCAUCCGGUGCCUACGGAAGCUGGCAAGAGGGAUCUAGCGCCAUCUCUGAUCCCGCCGAGUACAAAUUCGAGGAGAUAGACUACCCUAUCGUCGACUACGACUUGGUUAUCUAUCCGUCAAGUCGACGACAGCCAGAUAUGUUAUCCCAAAUAUUGUAUUUGUGUGAUCCAGAUGAAUAAAGAGCAACAUCGGCUUCGGCCAACAGGAUGUAGGGCUAUUACCUGUAAGAUAAGAGGCUCGAACCUGUAUAAAAAUCCCUGUCUCCAUCUCUUUUACCUCAAUCUCGCAUAUAGCCUGGUACCAACAAUCCCCAUACCAUCUAAAUACGUAGUCGCGAUAUCAAACGUCGACACCAGUGUAGGUCAACCUUAUUAUUGCAAGCAAAUCGAGAAACAAGUAAGAACAAGAUCAAAGUAAUCCGAUAUUGCAAAUAGGAAUUGAAUACACAAGAUAAGUUGGGUUCCAAAGACAUGCAGACAGACAGUUUAGUACGCGCGCUACAAGCAAGUAGCAAUGGCUAAACUUCAAUCUAAACAAAACCCAAGAAAACCUUAACGGGUACCUAGUUAUUCAAGAAGGUGGAAGGACGACCUUGGUGUCCCUAGGGUUGUGCUCCACCUGGUUGGGGUGCACCCCACAUGGGCCCUACUUGGGCCGGGGUCCCAGACAAAGUUACAAACCCAUAGGCCUAUUAUAGGUGAUGCGUCACCUUGUUCCUAUGAUUCCGGCCAAACGAGACGGAAUUCAAAGAUGAGGCUGAAUCCGUUGGAAAGCGGACUCCGAAAGCUUUCCACUAAGUACUAAUGGACCCAAAACGAAGGUCGUAUGCACAUCUGGCAGUCGUUUGAAAUCAACAUUGUUGCAGGCAGUUGAAUUGGAUUCCAGAACUUGUUUAAUUUGUUCUUGAUGUGAGCAGCGGUUGUCUCAAUAGCAUCCAUGGUCACAUCUUAAGCACGAGGGGUGGAUGCCCUACAGCUAACCCUAAUCAUAUUUAUUCAAUAACUAUCAUUAUUUAGAGUGCGGUUUUGCUUAGAUUAUUCUGCUGUUGCAGUUUCGCCGCUUAGUUCGGUUUGUGGAACCCCAAUUUGUGAGCUUCAUUGUAUAUAUGCAAUAUAUUUAUAUUAUUUCUUCUUCUCUCUUGUUUUUGUUCUCGAUUCAUUUGUAGGAGAUAGCUUUAUCGGUGAGGUCGACCGCGCUUUGGCACAGUUGAUAACCAACGAAGGGGUGGGGUUGUGAUUGUGAGUGGUUCGGUCAUCUUGGUUCAGUCUCCACAAUGGACUUAUCAGUACAUAAUGGACGAUCGGGACUUCAGUCCUCAUCACAUUUCUUUUGCGAUUCUUUUAGUGAGCGAAAUUAAUUUUGACCAUUGUUGUAAAAGAGUUGCAGCAAAUGUUACGUAUGCAAAUUGACAGAAGAACUCAAAGUUAAUAGAUGACUUUGUUUUUUUUUAUCUGUAUUCUAUUUGUCUAUGGAUGGGCAUUCGGUCAGACUGAAAAUUUUGGUCCUGGUCUUCAGUCUUCCUCUCAGUUCAGUCAUUAAAAAGUGAGGACCGAAUUUUAAUUGAAAAAUAUCAGGAUCGGUAAAUUCGGUCUCGGUCCAAACCGAGAUUAAACAAAAAGUUAAACACUACAUCCGUUUUUUACUAUAUGACGCCAUUGACUUUUCAAAAUACAUUUAACCAUUCAUUAUAUUUAUUUUAUCAUCAAAUGUUGUUUUAAGCAUGACUUCAAAUUUUUUAUAUUUGCGCAAAAAAAAUUGAAUAAGACGAAUAGUUAAACGUUUAACAAAAAGUUAGCGGUGCCAUAUUAUAAAAAACGGAGGUAGUAUAUGCAAAGAAAUCAUAAAAAAAUUUUAACACAAAAAUCACACAAAAAGAAUUCGCAAGCACGUCUUAGUAAAGACUUUUAUUGGGUUUUAUGGCUAAAAGGAGUAGGAUGUGAAUAUUAGGUUUUAAUUCUAUUAAACUUAGUGGAUUGUUGGUUGCAUUUGAAUUUUUUUUAAUUAGAUCUUUUCGGUUAACCGAGAAGACUAACCGAAUUGACGAACAAAAUGCCCGACCAAAUUUAUCGAUCUUGUCUUUUCAGUUUCGGUGGUCUUGGUCUUUUCGAUUCGUUCAUUUUUCAAUCCACCCUUACAUUUGUCAACGUUGUCCCUUUAUUUAAAAGUAUAAUCCUUGUGCAUAUAUACUCCGUACAAACCACACAUUAUAUUACAAUAGUAUAUUACGUAUACUUAUCACACCGACACGCAUAUAUAUCAUCAGCAUAUCAGACCUUUAGCCCGCUGGCACUGCCCGGUCUACUGCAAUUUAAUCUCGCUCGAUAUUUCCAAAGGGAUCGCGUAGACUGGCUCAGCGUGGACGAGGUGGUACAUCGGCUUCUCUUGACAAACCGGCGGCUGUUCGAUCACGUUCACCUUGCCACGGCGCACCGCUACGCUGCCGCAGCCCGACACGGACGCGGCGCGGCAUCGAUCCACGCGGACGGCGCCGCACCGACUCACGUCCGCCGACCCGCACCGCUCGAUGCCGAUCGCGCCGCACCAGUCGGCGCGCGCGGCGCGACACCGGCCUACCGCGACGUCCGCGCACCCGCCCACGUUGGCCUCGUGGCACCGCCCGACGUGAAGUUCCCCCGCGCCGCGCACGCGCGCGGCGCCCUUGCACCGGCGGAUGGCCACCACGCCGGCGCGCUCCACGUCCGCGGACCUGCAUCGGCGCACGGCCACCUCCCGCGCCCCGUCCGCCCGCACGGCGUCGCACCGAUGGAACGACGCGACCCCGCAGGCCUCCGCGGCCGCGAAGCCGCACCGGGUGAAGCUCACGUCACCACUGCCCCCGCCGCGCACCAGGACGUGCUGGAGACGGUCGACCGCGAGGACACCCGUGCUGACCAAAGUGACCGUGCCGCCGUUCCACUGGAUCACACCCUCGUGGAGGGCUGUCUCCACGCCGUCGAUGAAGAUGGUGAACUGCUGGUCCUCCUUGACGGUCGUGGCGGCGGAGGGAGGAUUUCUCAAGUCUAGUGCCACCAUUUUUAUGCAGAUAUCUUCUGAUGAUUGCUUGUAUUAUUUGUGUUGAUGAUUCCUGGAUAGAUGGCCAAAGUCUUUUAAAGGACCGCGUUGCUUAAGAGCUAAGGUAUUAGCAAGAAGUUGAUGUGAAAUGAAGGACUUUCUUCAAUUCGUGAUUGUGAUGGCUUGUUUUCUCCGAGUAUUCAUGACAACAACAACUACUGCCCAUCCGUUUGUGAAUUAAAUACGGUUGAAUGCGACGUGGAGUAUAUGUUGCUACCCAUCCUAAAAAAGAGAGAGUGUAGUUUUGUACUGUUCAUGUUCAACGUUUGACCGUCCGUUUUAUUUGAAAAAUUUUUAUGAUUAGUAUUUUUAUUGUUGUUAGAUGAUAAAAUAUAAAUAGUAUUUUAUGUGUGACUAAUUAUUUUUAAUUUUUUUAUAAAAUUUUCAAAUAAGACAGACGAUCAAACAUUGGACGCGGAAACUUAGCAAUGCACUUAAAUUGAGACGGAGGUAGUACUUGGUUCCACAAGAGAAACACGAGAGGAUUUAGGCCUGGUUUAUUUUCUAACUUUUUCUUCAGACUUCCAACUUUUCUAUUACAUCAAAACUUUUCUACACACAUAACUUUCAACUUUUCCGUCACAUUGUUUCAAUUUCAAUUAAACUUCUAAUUUUAGCGUGAACUAAACACACCCUUAGAACUUUAGGAUUUGCUUCGCGAUUCGUUCUUCUCUAGCUCCAGUGACAUCUUCUUCUCCUGCUCCAAUGACCCCUACAAAGAGUUGGAGUUAGAGUUUAGAAUCCUGGGUUCGAGUUGGAGUUAGAGUUUAUAAUCCUAGGUUCAAUCACUGAAGUAUGGUUGAGUGAGAUGAUCGCAGGGAGAGGGGGAGAUCACCAGGCAAAGAGUAAUAGACAUAGGAGGUGCAUGUCACACCCUAAAAAUUGCUAAAUUAUAAAUUGUUGUGAGAAAGGAAAUUUUACAAAUUAUGUAAUAAUUAAAGUAAGUGUUUGAAUAAAAUCUAUGAAAUAUUUGAGCAUCAAAUUGGGCUAGAUAAAAUUCUUAUAAAUACUAUGAGUUUCCAAGUAUUUUCUGGAUUUUUCCCGGAAUAAAAAAUCAUUUCAGCAUUUACUUAUAAAUUAAAAAGUAAAGAAAAUCCUCUUCUCCUUCCUCUCUCUCCCGCCGGCCCAAUCCGAGCCUGCAGCCCUCUCCAUCUCUCGGCCAAAGUCCAAUUGGCCUCCCUCUUUCAUCCGGUCCAAGAAAGAAAGAAAA
rnacentral:lncRNA from 1 species